UAUCAUUUAGCACUUAGGGGGCGUCUGGAUUGACGAAUCUGUAGAUCCAACGUAAGUCAAGUGCAGCGGUGUUUGAAUUUUUUUGAAGUGUAAUUAUUUUUUUGUUGUUUGUUUUGACGUAGCUCGUACAGUCUGAAAGUUAAAUUCAAUUACUUCUUUUGUUUAUUUUGAUAUAACUUGGUGUUGAUAAAAUUAGUUUUUUAAGUUUCGUUGUUUAUUUUGAUGUAAGUAAGUGAAUCCUGUUAUCUCCUAAAUAUAGCAGUAAAUUUACUGCUAUAAACUUUAACCUAUUAUAUAAUUAAAUUUUUUAUUAUUAUUUAAAGAUAAUCCUAAUUUAUUAUAAAUAAAGUAAUUCUAAUCCAUUAUAAAGGAAGUAGAGUUUAGAUUUACUAUUUAAUAAAUUUUUUAGAAAAGGUUGAAUACGGCGGAAGUCGAGUUCGACACUUUAGAGGAGAAAGUUGAGAGUAGGUGAAGUGAAGAUCUAACAUAACUUGAAUUACAUUAUAUUUUUGACUUACACAAAAUUAAAUAACGAAAGUGAUAGAACUUGAGUUCCAUCACUUCACUUAAUGGACCCUUAGUUGAAUACAUUAUAAGCUAAUUAAAUAUAACAAUAUAAAAAAAAAAAAUUUCGCUACAUCAAAUUAAUUAUAUAGAGUUAGUUUUUAAAAUAUAAAAAGUAAACAUGAUAUCACAGGUGACCUUAAAUUUUGAUAAGUGAAUACUUUAGUUAUUCAAAAUUAUGAAGAGAAAUGAUUCGGUACUUUAUUAUUAAAAAAAUAAAAUAGAUCUUAACCAUUGAUUAAUAGAAGGUAAAAAUAUAAUUUUAACAUUUAGCUGGUAAAAGAGUUAUAUCAUUCGAGAUUAUUUUGGUAAUUAAACUAUGGAACAUUUAAAGAAACUUUUAAUUGAUAUUCUAAAUUUAUGCAUUAAUUUAUACUAAUUUGGAAAAUUGAUUGAUUAUCCUAAUUUAGCCAUUAAUUAGGCAUUAAUUUACGCAUUUACUUUAGAAAUUUUAGUGUUUCUAAAAUUUAGGCAUUAAUUUAAAUUAUAGAAAUUUUAGAAAUAGUUCUAUUUCUAAAUAUAUUGAAUUUAAAUAUUAAAUAUUAAAUAUUUAAGAUUAAAAAAUUGAAAUUUAAGUUAGAGGAAAAAUUUGUAAUGUUGGUAAUUAUUUCAAUUCAACAUACUUAAUAUAUUUAAGAAAAUUUUAAAUUCCUAUAGUUUAGACAUUAAUUUUGUAUCACUUAUUUAAAAAAAUUUGAAUGUAGGUAAAAAAAUUAUAAAUUAAAUGUAUUUAAUAUGUUAAAAAAAUUUAGAAUUGUUCUACUUUAGACAUUAAUUUUGUAUCAUUAUUUUAAAAAAUUUAGAAUUGUUCUACUUUAGAUAUUAAUUUAGGAUUACUGUUCAGAAAAAAAAAAGACUAGGAAUUUGAAUUCGAGCCCGAUUAACAAUUGCAAAACUUAUUUCCGAACUUGACGGAUAUCAAAAAUCCAUAUCUAAACCCGAAACUGACCAAUUUUUCGGAACCCAAAACCAAGCCCAAACCCGGAGACCGGAAACAAAACAAUUAUUUCUCUUUAUCAUAUUUCAAAAUAUUUUAUAUUAAAUUUAAAUUUUUAAAAUAUAAAUUCGAAUAUAAUAUUAAACUUAUAUAUAUGAUUUGGGUCGGAUUCAAGAUGGAUAUAGACAAAAUUCAUAGUUGAUCCACAAAAUAAUCUUAUGUCCUUGUUGUCAAAUAAUUUGAAACUUUUCUUAUAUGAAAUGUCAAAAUAUGAGAGGAAAGAUAGAGAGAGAAAAAAGAAACAAAGAGAGAAUAAAAAUUUUGAUAAUAUAGUCACUACAACAGAAUUAGGUUAUAGGGACAUAUGUUGGGGACACUUUUAAGUAAGUGUCCCAUUUAUGCUAAAACUUAAAGAAACAUCUACUAAUGCCUAAAUAUAAAGCCCAAUCAACCAAAAAUAAAAGAUUACUCUACUCAACCAACCACACUCAGUCCAUUUGGCCGAUUACAAACAGAAAAGAAAAAAAAAAAGAAAAAUUAAUUACCAUAUUUUCUUCUCUCUUCACUCAAUCCACUGAAAUUUUAGACGAAGAGCCAUUCCUGUCGUCCUCCUCCACCACCGCAGCCAACGAGAUAGAGUUUCGGCGGUUGCUAAAUGCUUAAAUAAGUUGUUGGUAAAUUAGUAGCACUUUUUUAGGUUAUAGCGACACUCUUUAACUAUCACUAUAUACCUAGCGACCUCACAUAUAGCAACAUUUUUUAAAAGUGUCAGUAAUUUUAGCUAGCAGCACUUUUUUGACACGUACCUACAUUUAAAAGUGUCGCUAUAGACCGUUUUUGUUGUAGUGAGUAGAGAUAAAAUGACUAAAUUGCUCAUGUAUUAAAAGACAAAAAUAUUCUUUUUUUAGGUAGCUAGUUACCGGUAAUUCUCCCAAAGUGACCUGCUAUUACAGGUCACAAUUUUAAGAAAAUUAAAUCUGAACCGUUGAAUGGGAGUGAAUGAACGGUAACGAAAAAAAAAAGUAUAGAAGCAUUACUCAUUAAAUCUUGAAUUUUUGCUAUGAAUUAGGUUUCAACUCCUUCAUGCUAGAAUAGAUUAAACGAAAAAAAGGCAUUUAUAUUAAAAAAAAAUGAUCAUUUAUAAAAAAAGUUUAUUUUUCAAUUAGAAAUUAAAUGACGUAAAUAAAAAGUAAAGGGACCCACUUGACUUAACGGGAUAGCAUAGGGAGCAUCCAUACAAUUAAAUCCUGAUUGAUGAUGGAUUUUGAUGCAAUUAAUUUUUCUAACAAAUAUAAUUCAAUUCCUUUGUGGCGAAUAAAGUAGAGCACACACUGAUAAAGCAGACCACACGCACUACACAGAGAUAAGAAAGUGGGAGAGCGGGUGUAGAUCGACUAGACUUGGGCGAUGAGCUCUCCCGCGGGCGAAGGGAGCAAGAAGGAACUAGCGGCCGAGUCAAAGGCGGCGGCGGUGUCAUCGCAAACGACACAUGCCAGGCGGUGCCUGUGCUCGCCGACGAAACACAGGGGCUCUUUCCGGUGCCGCCUCCACCGUUCGAGUUCGUCGGCACGGCUGCUUCGGUCCAUGUCCAUGCCGGCUUCCAAGCCAGCCGCGGAGCAGCUCGGUUCCAAGCCCCUCGAGACCACCUAAAUUAAUUCAACACAACAUACUGCCUUCUUUUUCUGCCUUCUUUUUCUUUCUCUCGUCUUUUUGUGCUUCUUUUCAGUUCAUGUGAAUCACAGGACUGAUUAAGUAUAAAGUAAGCAAGUGUUAUACAUAUGUAUAAACCUUUCGAGACGCACGUACAUCUUACUGCCGUUUGCAUAAGUGCACGAAGUUUUGUGAAUAAUAUUAUUGUUGUGUUGAUCUACUCAGAAAAAAUUAUAGCGUUUAUUAAUUGUGUGAAAUCAGUGACCAUACGGGCUAUUUUUAAAACUUUUGGUGAGAGUAUUGUUGGAUGUGGCCCAUAUAAUUUAUUCAAAGAUAGAGUCGUUCUAUUCAAAUCGAUUUAUAAAAAUACGAUAGAUUUAACGGUUAGAAUGUAUCUGGAUACGUUCUUGAUGAAUGGACGUGAUUUAACAUCUUUACAUCAAGUUAUAUAUAAAUAUAUAAUAUACAAGUCCCGAUCUAACUCUAAUUCUAAUUUCUGUAAUAACUCCAUCUCAAGGUAUAAGGCUAUUAGACUCAAAACGUUCCGCUCUCUUACAGAUCGUGAACGAGGACGAACCAUGAGUAAGAAUCACCUGUCCUAGAAGCGAGGCGUGCAGAGCAUUGUUUUAGAAGUGAAAUUGCCCCUCCACAUGCGAGGCUUUCCAGCAAUUACUCCUAGCGGUACAAUGACCACAUUCCACCCUGUCGACACGCUUUCAAGGUCGUGCAAGAUUCAUAUCCAGCAAAAGAAAACUCGGCAAAAAUCGGUGGACAAGAUGAAUAGCGAGUAAGCAGGAAAAGACGAGAGGGUUUAAGUAUGCUCGGGUUCUUCUUCAACUCAUGCAACCUCGCCCAAUAUUUAUAAUUAAGGCGAGAAUCUUGCUCUAACGCGUCAAAUCCGUGUAGAACAAGAUAAGCCUACGAUUAUACGGAUAAACAUUAGGAUUAGGAUAAAGAUAAGAAUUAAAAUAAAGAUAAAAUUAAAAAAAAUAAAAAUAAAAAUAAAAUAAACUGGGUGUAUGGACUGCGCGCCGUCGCCCGGCUCGUGCUCGUGCCGUGCGUGCGUGUAUUUAAACAGGAGCAUUACUCUCACUUUGUUCCAAACAACUAGCUUGAGAAUAAAGGAAUAUAUAAAAAGCACAAACACCCUUUUGGUUUUCAAUGUAGGAAUAAACAUCAAACAUAAAAUUUUAGUUCGGCUCCCAAGCAGCUCAUUAAUAAUUAUUGAGCUCUCAAGAGACUUUAACAAGUUUUAAAUCACAAAAAUCUAAUAAAACCCAAUAAAAUUCAAUAAUUUUUACGUGGUUCGGCCACCGGCCUAGUCCACGGGCGAAGACGGAGCAAAUAAUUUAUUAAUAUCGAAAGACGGAGUACAAGAAAAUCUCUGAAAACUUAAUUAGAUCCGAAACGCCGAAAGUCGCGCCGUAUAAGAGACUCCAAAAUUGGCUUCUCUCUCACCACCCGUACGGACCACAACUUGAUCUGAAUUAGUGCAUACGGCUCCUCAUAUGCUCACUUAAUUAAUUAGAGCUCCAACUCUCUCUUGGCCUUAGUUAGUUAAUUCGUAAAUUAUUCGCGAAUUAUUCGCGAAUUUUUGAAAAAACGAAUUAAUCGGCCAUAUACGUAUUUUUUCCAAAAAUUCGGAAAAAAACGUGUUUUUUUGGGUACAAAAACGUAUUCGCAAAUAAUCCGUGUGCCGAAUAAUUUUGCCAAAAAGACACCGCGUCGCGGCUCGCGAGUGUGAGCGAUCGCGCGCUGGUCGUGGGCCUCGCGGGCCUCGCGGCCCGCGAGCGCGAGCACGAGCGCUCGCGCACGGAUCGCGGGCCUCGCGGCUCGCUCGCGAGCGCGAGUGCUCGAGCGCCGCUCGCCCAAACAAAAAAAAACCUCCUGUUUAUUUUAAGGCAUAAACAGAAACAAGAAAUAGAAAAAGGAAAAAAGAAAAAAAAAAUAAUUUCGCCAACGCUCGCCCCCUCUCCCAAAAUAAAGAUAUCAUUCUAUCAAAAAAAUUUAAUUUUUUAUAGACUAUCUUAAUCUUUUAUUUAUUUAAUUAUUUAUUUAUUUUAAAACAUAAUAUAGUUUGCUAUUUUUUUUACUUAAUCAGUUUAAUUUUGUAGCUCUUUAUUCUUGUAUUCUUAAGAAAUAUAAAUAUUUAUGCUAACAACAUAAAUCUUAAAAGAAAAUAAAUUUAAUUUAAUAGCUGAAUUUUUUAUUCCGAAUUUUUAAUUGGUGAACGUAUAAUAUCUGUAUAAAUCACGUAUUUGAAUAAUUGACAAAUCCGUUUUUUAGCCGUAUUUUUUAAUAAAUUUAAAAAUUAGAAAACGAAUUUUAUCCGAAUUAUAUCCGUACCGAAUUUUUGCCGAAUCCGAAUUAACUAACUAUGCUCUUGGCUCAUGAUGUUGCUGCCACCUCCUGUCACGAAACACCAAGGCUAUCAUAACAUGAUAAAUGAAAACCCAGUUUGGAAUCUCAGUUUGGAACAAGGUGGCGAGCGUGGAGGCGCGGCGGUGCGGAGCGGGGGCGGCGGCAGUCGGGCAGCGUGGUGGGCGCCGGCGUGGCGCGGCACGCGCAGGGCACGCGGGGGCGCGGCAGGAAGCGCGGAGCCGGCGGGCGCGCGACAGGUGCGGCGACGGGAGGCGCGGGCAAGGGCGAGCACAGGGGCGCGGGCCGGCGGGCGUGCGGGGCGGGCCGGCGUGCGCCGGGCGAGGGGCUGCGCCGGCAGGCGGACACGUGGGCGGGGCACGCGUGCGCGGGAGAGGAGAGGAGAGGAGAGGAGAGGCGGGCGCGGGGCGCGGGCGGCGCGCGGGGCGCCGGCGGGCCGUGGGCGCCGACAGGCGGCGGGCUCGGCGGGCCGCCGCGUGGUGGCAGGGGAGAGGAGCGGAGAGGAGAGGAGAGGAGAGGAGGAGGCGGGCCCAGCUGAGGGGAGAGGAGAGGAGGAGAGAAGGGAUUUUUUUUUUUUGUCUCUUUUUUUCUCUUUUCUUUUUCUUUAAUUAUUUUUAUAUUUGUUUUUUAAUAUAUGAUUAAAAAAUUUAUAAAUUUUUUAAUUCAAUCAUAAAUUUUAUUUAUUUUUAUAAAAAUUUAAAAUAUAUAAAUAAUUUUUAAAUAAGUUAAUUAUUUGUAUUCAAUAUAAAUUUUAAUUAAGCUGAAUAAAAGAAUUAUUAAAAAUAUAUAAAAAUAAUGAAGGAAAUUAAAAAUGAACAUAAAAAAAGUAAAAAAAAUAAAAAUAAAAGGAUAAGAUAGAUAAAGAAGAAUAGAGGCAAAAUGUAAGAACAAUAAAUCAAUUUUCUAAAAAUUAUAUUAAUUAAUAAUAAUUAUAAUAUAUAUAGUAUAAAUAUAAUUAUAUAUAAUUUUUUAUUAGUAUGAUUUUUAUCUUUAUUUUGUAAUCUUUCUUAUAAUUUUAUUAAGCAAUAGUUGUUUUAUUUUUUAGUUAUUUUUUAUACAAUUUUUUGACUCUUUUUUUUUAAUUUUUAUUUUAUUUAUAUAUUUAUUUCUGUAGAAUCGUUUCCGCCGCAACGCGCGGGUCCUUCACUAGUUAAGCAUGAAGCUCGGCUCUCUCCGCAGCAUCCGUACCUCCAAGAGACUUAAUUAAUUAGUGAAUGGCCUCUUAAUUGCUCCAGCUUCAUUAACAUGGCCACAUAUUUUAUAGGAUGUGGCUUCAAAUUAGAGUCUAAUUAGAACUCUAAUCAAUUGGAUUUCUAAACACAAGUCGAAUCUAAUUCAAAAUUGAUUAGAUUCCGAUCAUAAUCCAUAUAUGCCAAAUUAUAUCCUUGCCAAUUAGAUUAGGAUUUAACUCAAUUUAGAUAACUAUAAAUCUAACAAAAUAAUAACAAUGUUGCGGUCGGCAAGCCUCAAUCGAGACCGGCGUUUGGAGAAUGGAUCACCGACCUCACUGCAUUAAGCGACUCAAGAAGUAAAAAAAAAAAAAAAGCGACGUGACUUUUAGUGCUUAUUUAGGACCUGCAUUCGACGUCAACCACCUAGUAGGAACUCCAAGAUAUGCCUAACUAGACACGACCUCCUUAUCGUGAUCCCUAGCCUCUCCCGCUGUGAAUGACUCUGUAAACAAAAAUAACAACAAACUGGGCAUAAGAACUACGUUGUCAAUAGUUUCCCGUGGGUAAGCCGCCGACAUCAACGAAUUACACCACUAGAUCCCUGUAGUUCGGCUUACGCCAUGCCUAAUGGUCCUGUGGUAGUAUACACUCUACAAGGCAAUCCACUUCGAUGCCCAAUCUUGCACAGGUGAGCAUGAUGUCACGUAGGCCAACUCCAGAGUGCCGACUUGUGGAAAGCGACCCUCACAAGCAUGUGCGAAUGGGUACAAUGGCAAGCAAGCAUGAUCCACACUACAAAACUCUCAAUCGUCAUGUUUAAAACAUGGCAUGUCCUCUAACGACCCAUAGGUCGGAGACUACGUCACAAUGUCAAGUUCUAAUCAUUUAAGUAAGUCAUACACAUCAAUAUUAAGUUCAUGCUACAUGUUAUCAUAUAAUUGCCAUUUUCACUUGUCUACACAAGUAUACUACAAGUCAUGUAAGGUAUACUACACAUAAUUAAUAAGCAACGCUUUCCACUGCAUAAAGGUAUGACUUAGCCAUAUGUGACAUACAUAAUUAAAACAUCCAAAAUUCACUUAUAAUGCAUCUAACAUGAGUAUGCAUGAUUUCCAAUUGUAUAAUAAAAACAAGAAUAUAGGGGGAGUUCACCCAUUUCAGUGAGGUUAAACCCACCGGAUAUUCCUCGGAUCCCUUCGAUGCUCGAACGAAGAUGCCUUCUAGCCUUCUAGCACCUUAACAACAAUUCUAAAUCAAUUAGGAGCUUCUAAUACGCCUGCCAUAAAAUCCUCAUAAUUCAACCCAAAAAAUGUUAGAAAGAUACAUGAAAUAGAGAAGAACUCUAUUCCACACUCCACCUAAGGUUGGGAUGCUUUAAGUCCAACCUAGAAGAGAGUUUAACAAUUACCAAUUAAGUUCUAAAGCUCAGCCAAGAACAAUCCCAAAAUCAAACUCCAAUUCUACCAAAAUCACAUACCGAAAAGGCAAAUAAAAAGCUAACCUCUCAAAGCUCCAAGCCAAACCCAACCUUGAGCUAGAAUUGGAAGUUUAUCCUCAAACUAACCUCCAAAUUCACAGCAACCUUCACCAAGGUGCAGGAACAAUCCUCCAAAGAAAAGGUGAAUAAAAUAAGAUCAAUCCCCAAAUUCACAAAGAAAUUGGAAAUGAAAACUAAAGAGAGAGGAGAAGCCUACCGGUUUUUCUUCAAGCUCUGGCACAAUGAGAGCCAGCUUGGGUCGGUUGGGGAUAAACCCAAUAGCCAAAUUACUAAAAGACCCCUUACCAACUGAAUAUGCCGCAUUGCGUAUCGGUUCCAGUAUUGGAGUACCGGUACCCGACACUCAGAUACGCAAAACCCUGAGCGCGGGGUCUUCGGGUUUAAUACAGUGUACCGGUAUCCGCCUGAUGCAGUACCGGUACUUAGCUCCAGUACCGGUACUCAUCGACUCAAUACCGGUACCCAACACCCAACUUCUCAACCCGAGAGCUACCCAUUCUAGCAACCCUUUGGGGUACCAGUACCCCACUCAGGUACCGAUACUCAACACUCUAAACCCUGCAAUUUGCAGAUUUUAGUAUCAGUACUCCAAUCUCACACUUAGCGAGUUAUGUGAGGAAUCGAUACACUACUGUUGAUCCCCAAAACAGCUAGAAUAGUUCAAAACAUUAUUCUUACACUAGAACCUUGCAAUUUGCUAAAGUUCAGUGCACUACAUUCUCCCCUCCUAAAAAAGAGUUUCUUCCGUGAAAGUAAAAAUCGAAUACCUCAAGACGCCAUCUGAAAAGGAUGGGGAUAGUGCUCCUGAAAUGCACUUUCCAGCUCCCAAGUGGCUUCGCGCUCGUCGUGGUUAUUCCAAAGCACUUUCACAUAAGGUAGAUUGUGAUUCCGAAGCCUUUUCACUUCACGAGCUAAAAUCCGCACUGGUUGCUCCUCAAAGCUCAAGUCCUCUCGCAGCUCUAAUAGUGUAGAAUCCAAAACAUGAGCUAGAUUGAAAAUGUAUUUCCGAAGUGCCAAAAUAUGAAAUACAUUAUAUACUCCCGAUAGGUUCGACGGUAAAGUAAGCCGAUAAGCUAUCGGGCCUACACGCUCCAAUACUUCAUAGGGUCCAAUGAACCGAGGACUUUAACUUUCCUCGAAUGCCAAACCUUUUAAUUUCCUUUGUCAGCAAGACUUUCAAAAAAACAUGGUCUCCAACCUGAAAUUUCAAUUCUCGUCGACGCUUAUCUGCGUAGCUCUUCUGUCUACAUUGAGCCGCAACCAAUCGCUCUCAUGCAAGGCGAACCUUAUUUGUAGCCACCUGAAGCACAUCUAGACCUAAAAUCAGCCUUUCACCUAUUUUACUCCAAUGAAGUGGCGAUCUACAUUUUCUUCCAUAAAGAGCUUCAAACGGUGUCAUUUUAAUACUUGCUUGAUAACUGUUGUUAUAAACAAACUCUUCCAUAGGUAGAUGCUGUGGCCAUCCGCUAAGAAAGUCAAUCACACAAGCCCGAAGCAUAUCCUCCAGAAUCUGGAUAGUGUGCUCAGACUGCCCAUCACACUGGGGGUAGAACGUAGUGCUAAAAUCCAGUCGAGUGCUUAAUACAUCAUGCAGACUCCUCCAAAAAUGUGAUACAAACUGAAAAUCUCGAUCCGAUAAAAUAGACAUAGGCACUCCAUAUAGUCGCACAAUUUUAUCAAUAUACACUUGUGUGAGCCUCUCUCCCGUCCAAAUGUGUGAAUCGGAAUGAAGUGAGCAGAUUUUGUCAACCUAUCCACCACCGCCCAAAUGACGUCAUGACCAACUUGUGAGCGAGGCAAGCCCAUAAUGAAAUCCAUGGUAAUCCUUUCCUAUUUCCACAAAGGUAUAGGUAAACUCUGAAGUAUCCCCGCAGGUAGUCGACGCUCAGUUUUUACUCGUUGACAAAUUAAGCAUUGAGCUACAAACUCUCCAACAUUCUUUUUCAUUCCGGGCCACUAGUGCACUAACUUCAAAUCCUUGUACAUCUUUGUACUUUCCGGAUGUAGAGCAUAAGGUGCAUGAUGAGCUUCUACCAAAAUUUUCUCUUUAAUCCUCGACUCUGCUGGUACACAAAUUCUACUGCAAAAAUCGCAUCAAUCCUUGUUCAUCCACAUGAAAGUCACCGGUAUAUCCCUUAGUGAUUUUAGAUCGAAUCCUUGCAAUUCUACAUCGAGAACUUGCUUUUGUUUUAUCCUAUCUAUUAAACUGGGUUGUACCACCAAUGACAUUAAUUGCAAAGGCGUGUCGGGAGCCAGAACUUCUAGUUCCAACCGUUUCAUCUCUUCUAUUAACGGUGGUAGCGAGGCUACAAGCAUUGCCAAAUUUUCAGUUUACUUGCGACUUAGAGCAUCCGCCACCACAUUAGCUUUUUUCGGGUGGUAAAGAAUUGUCAGAUCAUAAUCUUUGAGCAACUCUACCCACCUGCGCUGCCUCAAGGUUCCAGUGUCCGGAUUGUCACACCCCGGGACCGACGCCAAUUUGGCCCGACCCGAGCACGUCAAACAGACGCCGAACGGACAGAGUUUUCCCUAUCCGCCCAAGGCUCAUCACAUGUACAUUUUCAUCAAAAGAGAAAAGCACUAGCGGAAACAUACACAAACGGCUUACACGAGGGUAAGCAAUAGCCAUUAGUGAAAGAAAAAGGAAACUAAACAUUCACAAGUAAUAUGAUUCAUUUUAGAUCAUAUACAUUGCAUCCAUCUCUUACAUUUAGGAUUCUUUGCAUUUCCUUACAUAAUUUCAUCAUUUCUUUCUUACAUCACAUUUACCUCAAAAUAAGCUUUACAUUCUUUUCCUUACAUCAUUUACCACCAUGUACAAAAGAUGAUCAUAGGGUAUUUUACUACAAAAUGAAACCCAACUUUGGUGGCCCCUGACUAAGGCGCGAUACCUUUACCUCGGUCGCUCGCCGGCUCGCUCGGUCCCGGCUCUGUGGAAAUAGUGGGGUGAGAACUACAACAAAGUUCCCAGUGGGUUCGGCCUCAACAUCACCGACUUUCCCACUAGGACUAACUCAGGCAUAAUAGAAAGGAUAAGCUGAAAUAUAGUAACCAAUCUACAACAUGAUGCUAAUAUGCCUGAACAAAAGUAAGGAAUAUGCUCAACAUUAACAUAUGCAGAUUAUGCAAAUUCUUUCGUUCUUUAUCUUUACACUUUGUUCUUUGUUUUUUGCUCUUUGUUCUUUAUUCUUUAUUCUUUAAUCUCAAGGCUAUCCCGGGGGCUUCGCCACAUUAACUUGCUUCACAUUAACUCCAUCGUCGCAGGAACUCACCCGUUAGGACCGUCCUUCGGGUUUACUCCAACCCGUGAUGCAUAACUCCGGAUCGCAUCGCCCGAGGGGGAGCGACCGCCCUCGAGCACGGAACUCAUAGCAAGUAUGAUCAUAUCCUUAACUCAAAGGAUUUAUAGUUCAAUCUUGACUUUACACUAGCUCUAGUGUUCUUUCAUCACUUUAUGUUGCUAACUCUAGCAAUCAUUGUUCUUUACUUUUCUUUUACUUUUGCCAUCUUUAGCAUUCUUCUUCUUUACAUUUCUUGUUCCUUACAUUUCUUGUUCUUAUUGCCCCUCUUUACUUUAACUUUACACAUAUUGUCACUUUCAUCAUUCUUUACAUCACUUUGGUUCUUUAUCUCACACUAUCUCUAGUGUCAUUUCACUUUAACUUUAUCAAAUGCCACUCGAUCUAUGUCAUUGUGUCACUCUGUUCUUUUGCUCACUUUGGGUGCUCACUUUUCUCUCAUGCAUAUGCAUAGGAUUUUCGACAUCACAUAGUUCUCAUUCAUCAUAUCAUGCAAGUUGUACUCACAAUCAUGCAACAUUACGUUUUCAUCGUUACUUUACCCUAAAAUGCAUGCAACAAUAUAUAUACACAUGCUUAAUGAAUGACACAUUAGGCAUAGAGAGAAGUUCAAUGAGUUUGAGAAGCACCACCCACCUCGUAGGCUUCCAAAGGUGCUCCGAUGAUUUUCUUGGGAUUUUUAGACCCUUCGUUCUUUACCUGCGGCAUAACGAAGCCAAAUUAGGCUUAUUUAGCCAUAGCUUUACAUACACUUUUCGUAAUGCUAUUCCGAGCUCACCAACGCGUCGGAAAUACCCCCAAUUAGGUUUCUAGAGGGUCAAUUUUAUUUAGAAAUCCCCAUGAGCAAAAGCCCCAAUUUGGUGCCCUAGCUCCAAUACAUAUAUCAAACAUAGGGUUUGAUCUCAUUGGGAAGCAAAAGUAGCUUCACUAUUCUCUAAAUAGUCCAUUAGAACCAUUCUUAGGCUUUCCAAAACCCUAGAUUAGAUUUCACCAUUAGAGGUGGGUUGAAGCUCACCUUGAGCUCAACCAUGGUUUUGAUCUCUAAAGAAGCAAAAAGAAAGCUUCAAACUACUAGAUAUUCCAUUAAAAUCAUUUCUAGGUUCAUUCAAACCCAUUUCUAGGGUUUUACUACAUUAGGGUUCAAAGCUUACCUUGUAAGCUUCCUUUUCUUGCACUAGAGAAGAAGGAGAUGAAGCCUCUUUGCUCCAAAAGCUUCUUCUUCACCUUCUUUGUCUUCUUUUCCUUUCUUUUCCUUUGCCUUUUUCUUCUCCUUCUUUGUCUUCUAGAGAAAGAAAGAGAGGAGAGAGUGUGAGAGGGUGAGAAUGAGAGAAAUGUCUCAUUUACCCCAAUACUAUACUCAAUGGGUUGUCAAAAUGCAGCUAAACCUCUCAACUUUUACUCUUUCACACAGCCUGGACUGGGCUGUUCGCGCAGGCGGGGACCGGUCUCUCCUUCAGGGACAGGGACCAGUUCCCAAAGGUCGUCCCAGCGCAGCCAGAGCUGCUGCGCGCAGUGCAAUCGGUCUCUCCUUGGGGGACCGGUCUCUCGGGGACCGGUCUCUCGGAUAGGGACCGGUUCCCGAGAGCUACUUUCUCAGGACUUAGCCGAUUUUUCGGCUGUCUCAUUUCAUACACGUUCGAGAACCGGUCUCUCCCACCAGGGACCGGUCCCCGAGAGCUGAAAAUCUGCAGUUUUGCAGAAUUUGAUUCCUUAGCUCUCGAAAACCUCCCGUAACUCACUUUUAAUCAUUUUAACACCUUCGGACUUUCCGAAGUGUACCAUCCUCGCACUUUGGUCAAUUUGACUAAAGUUCGACAUCUAUUUUUCGAAUUUUUGGUAUAUUACACGGAUAGUAUUUGGUACUAUUCUUGAUGUGUUUGGGGGUCGUUGAUUGUGUACCAACUUGUUACUCACAUUUUGUGAUGCGAGCGUAAAUCCUUAGUACCAAAAUUUGCAAACUGCAGGUUUUGGGGUACUAAGUACUGGUACCACAGUGGGGUAUCGGUACCCCGACGCGUGACCGAGAGGACUGCUCUCGGGUUUGAGCUGAGGGGUGUUGAGUACCGGUACAGAGUCGGCAGGUACCGGUCCUGCAUCGAGUUGAUACAUCUCUAUAUAAACCCCAACACCCACAUGUUGGGUCUUUUGAGCUGAGACCAAGGAGAAGGCUUGGUAAGCUUCCUUCUCUUUCUCUCUCUAGAUUUCUCCUCUUUGAUUUGUGGUUUCUUGAGGUUUGAUCUCCUCUUUCUUCUUCUUUUACAUGGGUGAUGGUUCUUGAACCUUGGAUAAGACUUGGACUUGAAGAUUAGAGCUUUGUUGAAGAAUUAUCUCCAACCCUAGCUUCAUCUUAGCUUGGUUUGGAGCUCUAAAGAAAGUUAGUAGUAAUUUUGCUCUCUUAAAUUGUGUUUUGGAAGGAUUUUUGGAAGUUAGACCUAAUUUUGGGAAACUAGGAUUUCAUUUUGGGUUUUCUCUUGCUAAAGCCUUUGGAGCUUAAUUGAUGGUUCCAAAACUUCAUUUUAAGUUGGAUUUGAAGCAUCCUAACCUCCAUUGGGAUUUUGGAAAAAUUUAUCACCAUUUAAGGUAUUUUCUACCUAUUUAUGGUGUGAUUUUUGAGGGAUUUCAUGGUGUGUUCGUUCGAAACUCCUAAUCCCCUUAGAAUUUUUGUUAGAGUGCUAGGAGGCUAGUGGACAACUUUGUUCGUACAAACGAAGGAGUUUGAGAAGUAUCCGGUGGGUUUUGACCUUACCGAAAUGGGUGAACUCAUCCUAUGUCAUUUCUUAUGCUUUAAAUGAAAAAUUAUGCAUAUUUAUGCUAGAUAGAGUAUAAAUAAAUUUUUGAAUGCUUAAGACAUACAUGUUACAUGUCAAGUUUUAUAUUCUCUAUAUAGUAGAGAGAGAGUUUGUAAUAUACCGAAACUUCGGUGGAUUGCACCGAACUUCAGUUAAAUUGAUCGAAGCGUUGUUAUGAAUGCUUCGGAAUGCUUGGUAUAGGGUGUUGAGAUCUUGGAGAGCAAGCUAGAAAAUUUUUAGCUGUUUUCGUGCUUGUAUUGCUCUCGGGGUCCGGACCCUGUGCAAGGUCCGGACCCCGUACCCGCAAAAUCGUGGGUUUUUUUAGCACAGUAAUUUGGAGAGGGGCUUAUGUGCAAUUAUUGCUGAGGAGUGCUAUUUGAAGGUUCUACACCCUUCCUCCUUUUCAUUUCUCAUUGGUGAACAAAGAGAAAAGCUUUCUUUUUCUCUCUCUAAGUUUCUCCUCUCUCUCUUUCUCUUCCUUUCUCUAGGGUUUUGUGAGAGGGUUUGGUGGAGAAGAAGAUAGCUUGGUGGUGAAGCAAUCUUUUGUGCAAGAGAUUUAAGAAGAAAAGCUUGAGCUCAAUGUGAGUUCUUGUGGUAUUAAGCUAGGGUUUUGGUUUAUCUCCUCUAGUUGUNUUUUACAUUCUCGAACAAAACAUAUUGAACUAAGAUAUCAUUUUUUAAGAGAACUGGUAGAAUCAAACGUUUUACAACUUGAAUACAUUUCAACUGAAAAUCAACUUGCAGAUAUUUUAACCAAACCUUUGGAUCAAAAACGUUUUCUGCAUUUGAGAAAGGCAAUUGGUAUGAACCCAUCAAUCUAGAUAUAUUCUAUUGAGCCACAGAUCAUGUGCAUGUUGCGUAGUUUGUUUCUUUUCUUGCAUGCUUUUCGGUGUUUAUGAUUUGAUUGAUUUCCUUGCUUGAAAUUGCCGUUUCGGAAAAUGAGUUGAUCUGUGAAUUUAAGUGUUUCAUAUUUAAGUUUUGAUUGAUCAAUGUCAGGGUUAUUCUCUUUUGACAUAUUCUUGAACGAUCAAAUCUUUGAAGUUCUAUUUAACAUAUUAAAUCAAAUUCAGCACCUCAUGCUUCGAACUUUGAAUAUUGCAAUUGUUUGUUUGAUUAUUAGUUUUGAAAUGAAUAAAUCUUUCUCUAUUUUUGAAAUUGCGGUAAUAUUUUUGACUUGAGGGUUGCACUAAUUUAGGGGGAGUCUUGCUGAUUUUAGCUAUGAAAAUAUAUGAAAUUCAAGAUGUGGAAAGAGUUACAUCCCCGCUGGGAGUGUGAAAACUACCACCACAUGGAGGAAAGAGCUACCACCCCGGUCGUCCGGUCAGUGUGUGCAGCUACCACAUGAUGAUGAAUAUAUCUCUAUGGGCUAAAAGCCAAUAAAGAAUGAAUCAAUAUGAGAUGUUGUGGAGAUGGUAAAAUUCUAUGUUUAAUACAUCUCCUAGGCGAUAUAAGGUGGGUUGUCAAAAGAUGCUCAAAGAGCCACUCUUAUCUCGAAUUAUGUGCAUAACUCAAGUUGAGAAUAUUCUUUUAAUUUCAUGAUUAUGAGUUUUAUUUAUUCAAUUUCUUAACAAAUAUGAUGAUAAAAUGAUACAAUUUAUUUAUAGAUCUUGCAUGAUGUGUGGAAUUUUAUUUGAUACUUAUCAAGAAUUUUAUUUGAUUUUCGGAUCAACAAUAUUUGCCAAAUUGAAUAUCUUUGAGAUUGUUUUUCAAAAUUUAUUUAUGAAAUUUUUUUGGAAAGUCUUUGAGGAUGGAAAUUGUGUAUUUUUGAUGUUGGAUAUGUUGAGAAUAUUAUAUAAAAUAUUUGAAAAUUCUGGACGAAAUUUCAUGUUUUAGGUUUUGGCUCUGGGACCGGUCCCAGACUUGGAGAGACCGGUCCCUCCGCCCGAACCGAUAUAAGGGCUUUUGCGGUUUCUUUCAUUUUACUUUACCAAUCUCGUUCAUACUUCUCCCCAGAGCUUCUAAUAUUCAUAGGGUGCUUUUGCUUCCAUUCUUCAUCAUUUUCUACUUGAUUUUGGUAUGAUUCUCGGAUUUUGUUUCAUUAUUGUCUUAUAAUCCGAAUUUGUGCUCUAUAUUUCAGUUUUUGGGAUUUGAUCUCAUUAUGUUGGUAAAUCUCUUCAUUUUUGUCCUGAUCUUACUGCUAGACAUGUUAAUUAACAUCUUCAUGCAUUCUUACGUAGUGUGAUUUAAUUGUUUGGUUGUUUUUGUUAUGUUUUAUUCAUCAAAACCUAAUUUUUCCCAUUUUUUGAAAACUGUGGUUUUAUUGGUUUUUGAUGCUUGAUCUGUCCAUGAUUUUCAUAGUUAUGUGGCUCUAGAAUUAUCUAGCAUAUUACAUAUCAAUUUGCUAAAGUGUUUGGGAUCACAAAAAUCUAGUGUUCUUAUGUUCAAUAUGUAUAUAUCAUUGUGUUUAACAGGGGUUUCUUCGAAAAUGUAUUCGUGGCUACUUGUUCUUGUAGUUCUGAUGGCUGGCGGUGGUCGUGGAAGUAAGCGACAGCGCUCAAAAGGUAAAAGGCCGAUUGAGUAUCAACCGGAGGAUGAAGAGAGCGAGUAUGCUCCUGGUGACGACUCUGAGGAGGAUGAGCCGGAUUGGGAAACUUUUAUUCCUGAGGUAUUAACUAAGGAUAAGGAUACUGUGAAAGGCAAAGGAAAAGGAAAAGCCGUGGAAAAAGGCAAAGGAAAGGCGACUGAGCGUCCCGGUCGUCGUAAGUCCGGGGGUGUUGAAAUUCGAGAACCGGGUUCUGAGCCACCACGUCACAGUCUACAGGAUGUUCCAUCUAAACGACGGUCAAUGUACUCGUCGAAACACUGCAUUGGUGAGCGGGAUGUUGGGGUGGCCAGUAUCAUUAGUUGUGUGCCGGGUUUUCAGGAUUUAUUUGAACAGGGAAAUCUUCAUCAGAUUUGUGAUUUCCCGGAGCAAACCGGUUAUUGCUUGGAGUUGAUCAGAGAAUUUUACAUGAGAGCAGGUCACCUCAGUGACUCCGACGGCGGUCCGUACGUGUUUAAGACUUCCGUACGUGGUGUUGAGUUAUCUAUCACUCCUGCGACAAUAGCUUCGGUGUUAGAGAUGGAAGCAAAGACUGACGGAGUGGAGUAUCUGCAGGCCGGGUUUGACUCACUUCGCGAUUGGAACCGUGUUGUGAACACUCUUUGCAUGCCGGGUACUGAAUCAAACGGUAUUAUGGUUAUGUCCAAAGAUUUCAAAAUGGAGUACAGGUUUCUGAACUUUGUGGUUUGCUACAACAUCAUGCCUCUCGCGAACACGAAAAUCUUGAGAUGGGAUCGGAUUCUGUACAUGUAUCUCUUGGGUAGGCCGGAUGUUGUAGGUGCCAAAAAUAUUAACAUGAAUAUUCCAUUUUUGAUCUGGCGGAGAAUGGCAAAGGAUAUCAAGACUUCCGGGCAAAAUGAGAGGUUACCUUUUCCAUUGAUAAUUAUGAGGAUUUUGCGACUUCGUGAGGUGGAUGUUCGGUGUACAUCAUACGAGCACAGUUUGGGUCGGAUUAAUGAAAGGACGUUUGUAAAGUCCUCGGUGCAACUUCGUACGCCGUCUCAACGUGCUUCUUCCCCUCCUGCAGCUCCACCUCUUGCUACUGCUACUUCUUCACGUCCUUCUAUGGACAUUUCUGAGGAAGAUAUUUCUGUUUCAUCGGUGUAUCGCGAGCAGCAACGUCUAUCUGAGGAGCUUCAGAAGUUGUCUGCAGAACAAGCUGCGAUUCGUAAGGAUGUGGGCAAGAUGAAGCGCUUGUUGAAUAUGAUUUUUGACAAAUUGGGAUGCUGUCGGUCAGAUUUACCUCCGGGAGAUGAUUCUGACUAGGAAUUUCCGGGCUUCUCUUUUUGUCGUUUUGGCGCUUUCUGACAAAAAGGGGGAGAUGAUGAUGAUGAUGAUGAUGCAUGUGAUGUUUUAGCUUUCCUUAGUUACUCUGUUUAGUUAUGCUUUAGGUGUAUGCCUUAGGUGUUUGACUUAGUGCUUUAGAUGUGACUAUGAACUAUGAAUUAUGAACUUUGACUUGAUAGUUUUGUUUGAUCUUGAUACUUGAAUCUUGAUUAUGCUUUGAGAAUGUUUUUGCAGGAAUAAUUCAAGACUUCAAGACUCCAUGUCUAAGUUAUAGAGUUUGUAUUAAGGGUGUAAAAGUGUAAUUCAUUUUUUUUGGAUUGAUCAUGCAGGAGAUUAUCGUUUGGUGAUUGCGAUGAUCUUCUUUUUAUGACUUAUUGGUUGUAUACGAACUUUGUGGUAUAUUUUGUCACGAAAUCGCCAAAGGGGGAGAUUGUUAAGGAUUUUAUAGGUUGGCGAAUUUCGUAUUGUGGUUUGGAGUCUUGAAGAGUUGAUCAUAGAGGUUUUUGAGAAGAACUUCACAUUGGAGAACGGAGACUCAUUCAGAAAGCUCGACACCUAAGGUAUGAAGAAAAGAUCAUUUGUGGUGAUGGUAUAUAAUUAGAAUAAGUUCAGAAGGCUUAGAUUGCUUUAAAACAACUUUUCUGAACUUUCAAGUGUUCUGAGACCGGUCUCUGAGAUGGAGAGACCGGUUCCACUAAGGUCCUCACUGCGUAAACCGUGAUGCAACCGGUCCCCUGUGAUGAGAGACCGGUUCCCGAACCAUGGUGCUUCUGUCGCGCAGCGAGGGACCGGUCUCAAGUUUGAGAGACCGGUUCCCGAACGUUGGGUUUUUGGUUACGCAGAGAGGGACCGGUUCCUCACUUGAGAGACCGGUCUCUCACAGACCGGUCUCCUCGAGAGGACCGGUCUCUGAGGACGACACAGGUUUUUAAAAACGACUUUUUGCAAUCCUAGUCUACUUCUAAGUCUUCUAAACAUAUAAAUAAGCUAUGAGGGUCAUCUAAAAUUAAGGCUUUGAAUAUUUUAUCAAUUCUAAACCCUAGAAACUCAAUUCUCUCCGUUUCAAUGCUUAGAUGAGUUUCUAGCAAUCGACAUCGGCUUGAUUCUUCGUUGUUACUCAAUAUUUCUUACGAGAAUCAAGUAGAUGUUUGAUAAAAGGUGAACUCCCAUAGCUUAUGGUUUUGAAAAGUUAAAUCACCAUAAAUCUUCGAUUCUACAAGCUCCGGAAGGAGGUUCGGCGCAUGGAUUUCGUGUGAAGCCGAGGAUUCGGUGGACGCUUCGAGGAGUUGAGGCGUUGACGCUGCAAGGAGUUGCAGCAAGGUCGAUUGGAGGAUUCCUAUCGAUCGAGGACCGGCAAAGAUCACCAUCAACGAGAAAUCGGUAAAUUGAGUCGUGUGUUUUUGUCAAAAUCACUUGUACUCGAGUUUUCUUAGUGGAUUUUCUUUGCGUGAUCGGUCCCGUGGGUUUUUCACUCCGAAUUGGAGUUUUCCCACGUUAUAUUCUCGGUGUGCUUUUUUAAUUUCCGCUAUUUCGUCUUGUUUGUAUCGAGAUUUUUCGAGUUUGCCGGAUUUACACCUAUUCACCCCCCUCUAGGUGUUACUUACCUUUUAGAUCCUCGGGAUCCAUAUCUUACAUACUCAACUCACCCUACCCAGCCCAUUCAGCCCGAUUACAAACAAAAAAGGAAAAAAAAUUGAUCACCAUCUCCCAUUCUUCUCUUACUCAAUCCACUGAAAUCCUAGACGAAGAGCCCUUCACUCCUCUCCUUCUUCGCCACCACAGCCAACGAGGUAGAGCUUCGGCGGGUGCUAAAUGCUUAAAUAAGUGUUGGUAAAUUAGCAGCACUUUUUUUAGGUUAUAUCGACACUCUUAAACUGUCACUAUACACCGAGCGACCCCACAUAUAGCAACACUUUUUAAAAGUGUCGAUAAUUUAGUCAACAAUACUUUUUGUGACCUAUACCGACAUUUAAAAGUGUAGUUAUACACCGUUUUUGUGGUAGUGACUUGAUACCGUUGAUCAUACUUACUUGCCAUUAUGCUCAUUCGCACAAGCUUGUGAAGGUCACUCCCUACAAGCCGGCACUCCGGAGUUAGCCUACGCGACAUAUUAUAAGGAAGUGAAUUCUCGAAAAGCGAGAGUUGGACUUCAAUUAGAAUCGACUAAUUGUCGGUUGGGUACGCUUCGGAAAGGUCGAAAGCGUCGAAAGCACCAAAAGUGCAUUGAGGAGGGUCUCGGAGAGCAAGGUAGUGUAAACUGCAAGUUGCAGAUUUUGUGCUCUCGGGGACCGGUCCCUCAGUAAGGGACCGGACCCCGUACGUGCGGAAAUGGGUAGACUGGUGUCUGCACAAAAAUUGUGCUCUCGGGGACCGGUCCUUCAGUAAGGGACCGGACCCCGUACGUGUAGGGGCUGGCAGAGGGAAUUCUGCUCGAAAUCUUGCUCUCGGGGACCGGUCCCUUCGUAGGGAGACCGGUCCCCAUACCCGAAAUAUGCCCAGGCUGGGCAGGGCAAGAGAUGUGAAGUUGAGGGGCUUAUUGGCAAUUAUUGCAUGAGAAGGGUUAAAUGGGGGAUUUCCCCUCUCUCCUCUCCCACUCUCCCUCAUAACAUACUCUCUCUCUCUAGGAACUCUCCCUCUCUCUCUAGAAGUGGAGCAAAGAGGAGGGAUUGGAGGAGAAGAAGACCAAGGAGAGGAUUUCCACCAUCUUCAUCUUCUUCCUCACCCUUGGAGUAGCUUCUUGAGGUAAGCUUCUUGGAGCUUUCAUGGUAAAUCCUUAGGGCUUCGUCUAUAUGCUCUAGAAUUGGAUUUGUUGGACCCCUUUGAUGCUAGAUAGUGGUUUAUUGCUAGAAUCCAAAGCUCUAAUGGUGUAUUCUUGCAAUAGUACUAACCUAGGGCUCCAAAUAGGGUUGUUGGAAAUAGAGGAGUUUGAUCUCAAUUGAACAUGUAUAAACCUAAUUGCUAGGCUUUCCGACACGUUGGCGAAGUCGAUUCGGUGAUUCGUCGAGCCGGUGCGAAGAUGUUGCCGAAAAGGACCUUCGUGGCUUCGUUUCUGCCUAGACGGCCGAGGCGGCACUUUAAAAUCGCGAAGUCGGCGUCGUAGCUUUGUAACGUCGUUAAAAGGUGGGUGGUGUCAUCCCGAAGCAGUUCAGCUGCUCCCUAUGUCUAAGUAAAUAUGUAUUGAUCAUGCUUCACAUGUGAACCUUGUGCAUUAUAGGGUGUCUAAUGGUUACAUUUACUAUUCUUGCAUGCUCCUUUGUAGUGUAGCAUAGGAGGCUUGACACUUGAGCUUAGAGUGCAUGAGAAUGAGCUAUUGUGAUAUAGAGCCCUAUGGUGAUAAAGAUAAGUGACAACUUGAUCUUGUAUUGAUGAAAAUAAUGACAUGUGAAUUAGUGUACUCAAGACUCCGUAUCAUGAUGAGUGGCAUGUAAACCAAGUGAACAACUUGAUGAGUGGCAUUAGAAUUUAGUGUAAAAGGACACUUAUGAUAUGAUGACUUAGGGAUUAGAUGAGUUUCCCUAGCUUGACACAUUGCAUAAGAUUGGUGUGGCAUUGAUGACCAUAGUGACAGGGUAUCCUCAGUUGACGAGGAUUGGAUUAUACUCGCAUAAUCUGUUUUUGUCUUGGUCACUCCACUCGUUAGUGCACUCCGGAGGUGGUCACGUAGAGGACAGACGUAGUUGUCCGCAGACGGUCCUGGGUGGGUUGACAAGGUCCUCACCUAGGGGAUUUGAGAUGCGAGUCGAGGGCGAAACUUCGGGUUAGCCAAGGAUUGGAUGUUGGACUCAUGAGAGUUAUGAACAUUGGGCAUAUUGAGCAUAGUAGAAUUGCAUUCAUGCUUGAUAGAGAUGUAGUAGCAUGUUAGUAGAUACAUGGUUACAUUUGUUUAUUCUUGUAUCUCUAGGCAUAGUAGUAUCUUGCAAUUCCUUUAUUAUGUAUCAGUUUCAGCUUCAGUUAUCUAUCUAUCUACCUAUCUGCUUAUGCCUGCUUAGACCCAGUAGGGAAAUCGGCGGAGUCGGCGGCCGAACCCACUGGGAACUAUGGACAAUAGUUCUCACCCCACUUUGUUGCAGGGCCGAGUUCGAGUGCUCCCGGUGAGGACCGCGGUAAGGGCAUAGCGCCCUAGUCUAGUUAGCAACCUCCAUUUGUAUUAGUGUACCUAUGUACUUGUUAGACGUGGAUGUAUCUAUUUGAGAGUUGUAUGUAUUUUGAGUUUAUACCAGAUGUGAUAUGAACAUGGAUGUAUAUAUUCAUUUUGGGACAUGUAAAUGUAAACUUGAUGUAAAUAAUGAUGGAUAAUUGAAUGUAAUAGCUAGAAUAUCUCCCUUUUUUCACUUGUAUAUUACUAGUGACUCUUGCUCUUAUUUGUUAGCACUUGUGGUGCUUCUCGUUGAUCAUGUAUGUUGUUUGAGUUCUUCUUGGGCAACUCUUGUACAUGACUGUUGAUGCUUUGCCUUGGGCGGAUAGGGGAGGUGCUGUCCAUUCGGCGUCUGUUCGACAUGCCCUAACCGGCCAAACUAGCGGUCUCGGGGCGUCACAGAUUAAAGUGGUAUCAGAGCGAGCUAAGAGCAAGUAAAGAGAGAGUCUAGGAUGGACCUAGGAGACCCUAGGAUGGUAAACCUUAGGGUUAUAGGUGCGUGAGUGGAACGUGAACUUGUAACGGUGGCGGAAGUUGAUCGGUUAGGUCGAAGUGGAUGUUAUGUCUCUAGUAGUGGCUAGAGGUAGAUUCAAGUGGUAUUAAUUCUUGGCUCGAGGUGGUUGUGUUGGCGGCCGACAACAUGACGCCGAGAGUCUAGAAUGAGUACACUUGUGUGCUUCCGCCUGAUUUCGAUGUUGAGUCGUGUUGCUUAGUAAUCGCGAUGACGUUAAUGGGUUAAGGUAGUUAACCGUGUUUUUGCGUUUCAGGAGCUAAUGGCACCGAAGAGAGGCUACACGCGUAGGUCCGUUCCGGCACCCCCUCCCGAGGUGCCAGAGUCAGCUGGGUCUAGCGAGGUGCAGGAGUUACGGGCGCAAAUGACCGCGUUGGCCGGUCGGUUCGAGCGGCUCCAAGAACUAAUGGAGCGGUAGGUGGCGGCGACGGCCGCGACGGCGACUGAAGGCGGUGGUCCACUCUUGCCCUCAGCUUGUGCGCCCAAUGUGGCUGAGGGUGAGGGCAUCGCAGCGGCUCUGGUGGCAGCAUGUUCCCCGCCGGCGAGUGUUCCUCCAGUUGCUUCGGGUUCUGCUACACUCGAUGUGGCGGCUGAGGAGGCGGAGCGAGAGCGUGGUUACACGGCUCUCACGAGGUUGAUGAAGUUCCACCCUCCGACAUUUGACGGUGAAGUUGUUGAUCCUUGGACGGUGGAGACAUGGUUGGCCGCAAUGGAAACCUUGUUCGAGAACAUCUAUACGUUGGAGCAAGAUAAGGUGCACUUGGCCGCGCAUUGCUUCGACAAACGAGCCCGAGUGUGGUGGAGGAGGGUGAAGCAGGAUCGAUCUUCGGAGCUUCCCCCGAACGAUUAGGAGGAGUUUCGGAGGUUGAUGUUCGUAGAGUACUUUCUCGACAGUGAUAAGAGAAAAAUAUGGGAAGACUUCAGGAAGCUCAAGCAAGGCAAUCGCAUGUUUCGGGAGUAUGAGCGGGAGUUCACACAUCUCCUAAAUUGCGUCCCGGACGUGGCGAGGACCGAGCAGGAAAGGGCGGAGUGCUUCGUGCGGGGACUUCGGCCCGGAGUGUUCUGAUUGGUGCAUGCCUUUAAGUUCCGCACCUUUAUGGAAGUGUUGGAUCGUGCCUUGUGGGUCGAGCACGGGAACGCUUGUGAGCGAGAAGAGCGCGAGGCGUUCGAGAGAGACAAGAGGAAGAAGCAACAGAGUGGUGGCUCGAGGGGACAGUCAAGUUCCAAGAAACCUCCGAAGCACCCCCGAACGCAGUCGUGGAGUCGUGGGCCGCAGCGGUGCAAUAUUUGUGGUGGAGGCCACCGAGUAUCGCAGUGCAGGCAGCGUCAAGGAAAGUGCUACACUUGUUGACAAGAAGGGCAAAUAAGUCGCGACUGUCCAGUGAGGGCCCCGCCUACCCCGUCUGUUCCGUCGGCUCCAGUGACUCCGGCUUAUUAUGGAGGAGCUCCACCUACUGCCGUAUGAGCGGGACGCGUGAUGGCACCGCAUCAGCCGGAAGUAACUCGAUUGGCUCCGAGCGGACGGGUGUUUGCCGCUCAAGUCGAGGAUCCUGCCGAGGCCGAGGAGCGCAAUAUUGUGAUAGGUAUGGUUUUAAUUAACGGAGUUCGCUCCAGAGCUAUGUUUGAUACAGAUGCCACACAUUCAUUCAUUAGUAGGCCGUUUGCACAAAUGCAUGACAUAAACAUCCAAUAUAGUAAAAGCACUUGGCGAGUAGCAGGCCCUGGACGUGAUUUUCUUAUUAGGAAGGAGUGCUCGGUGUGUCCAGUUCAAGUUGGCAACUGGAUAAUGCCAAUCCGCAUGCUUGUGCUCAAGAAGCUGAAGGAGUAUGAUGUUAUAUUGGGCAUGGACUGGCUCUCGAAAUAUUAUGUGUCUAUCGAUUGCAAGAGCAAGGUGAUCACAUUCCGUGAGCCGGGAUAGGAGGAGUUCACCUACCGAGCGUGCAAGAGCUCGUGCUUCACCGCGACAGUGUCGGCGACGAGGGCAAGAAAGUUGGUCAACAGCGGUUGCGUGGCUUACUUGGCGACCAUCAUAGAGGUUGAACGAGUGGCUCCAACACUUGAAGAGCUAUCAGUGGUAUGGGAGUUCCCGGAUGUAUUUCCGGCAGAGUUACCAGGAAUACCGCCGGACUGGGAGAUCGAGUUCGUGAUAGACUUGAUUCCCGGGACCGCGCCGAUCUCUAAGGCUCCGUAUUGGAUGGCGCCGGCGGAAUUGAAGAAAUUGACGACUUAUUUGAUUAGCUACAGGGGUCGCGAGUGUACUCAAAGAUAGACCUCCAGUCUGGCUACCAUCAGCUAAAGAUUAAGACGGAGGAUGUAUAGAAGACCGCGUUCCGCGCGCGGUAUGGGCAUUACGAAUUCACGGUUAUGCCAUGCGGGCUCACAAACGUCCCAGCAGCAUUCAUGGACCUGAUGAACCGUGUAUUCAGAGCGUACUUGGACCAAUUCAUCGUGGUCUUUAUAGGUGACAUUUUGGUCUACUCGCGUAGCGACGAGGAGCACGCCGAGCAUUUGCGGAUAGUACUUCAAAUCCUUCGGGAGGAAAAGCUAUACGCAAAGCUGAAGAAAUGCGACUUUUGGCUUCGAGAGGUCGCGUUUCUCGGGCAUGUCGUUUCUGAGGGAGGAGUGUCUGUUGACCCAAGGAAAGUCGAGGCGAUCAAGAAUUGGCUGCGCCCGACGAACGUCACGGAAGUCCGAAGCUUUGUGGGCUUAGCGGGCUACUAUAGACGAUUUGUGGAGGGAUUCUCAAAGAUUGUUAUUCCACUUACUCAUCUAACGCCGAAAGGCACCAAGUUCGUGUGGAGCGACGAGUUCGACCGGAGUUUUAGAGAGUUGAAGGAGAAGUUGACUUCAACUCUAGUGCUCGCCUUACUGGUGCAGGGCGAAGACUUCGUGGUGUAUAGCGACGCGUCCGAUUUGGGUUUGGGGUGUGUUCUAAUGCAAGGUGGAAAAGUGAUCGCAUAUGCGUCUCAUCAGUUGAAGAGCUACGAGAAGAACUACCCUAUCCAUGACUUAGAAUUAGCCGCAGUAGUAUUUGCUCUCAAGUUGUGGAGGCAUUACUUAUACGGCCCGCGUUGCGAGGUAUAUACUGACCACAAAGUCUAAAGCAUCUUUUUAUCCAAAAAGAACUUAAUAUGCGGCAACGGCAGUGGUUGGAGUUGUUAAAGGAUUACGAUGUCACGAUCCUCUACCACCUCGGGAAGGCGAAUGUAGUCGUGGAUGCACUCAGCAGAAAGUCGGUGGAGAACCUCGCGUUGAGCAUCACACAUUAGCGGCCUCUAUGUAAAGAGAUGAGUCGAAUGAAUCUUGAGGUAGUGGCUCCAGAGGUUCCGACCAUGUUGUUGGCUCUCGUUGUCCAACCGACCUUGUUGGAGAAAAUUAGAAGUCUGCAACCUGCGGACCCGACUCUCCAAAAGGUGCGGCACGACAUCAAGAGUGGACACGGCGGCGAUUUCAGUGUGGACGCCGAGGGUGCGCUCCGGUUUCGAAACCGGUGGUGCGUACCAGAGAAUGAUGAGGUUCGGAAGUUGAUUCUGAAGGAAGUGCAUUGGACUCCUUAUAGUGUCCAUCCGGGCGGCACCAAGAUGUACCAUGAUUUAAAGAUGCAAUAUUGGUGGCCGAAAAUGAAAGCGGAUAUUGGACGCUACGUGGCGUAGUGUCUAGUUUGCCAACAGGUAAAGGCGGAGCGCCAAUUUCCAGCGGAAAAGCUUCAAAGCCUACCUAUUCCCGUUUGGAAAUGGGAGGGCGUGUCGAUGGAUUUCGUGGUCGGCUUGCCUCGCUCGACUGGCGGCCACGAUGCGAUCUAGGUGAUUGUGGAUCGUUUGACGAAGUCGGCUCACUUUUUGCCGAUCCACACCACUUGGGCAGGUGAUAGGUUGGCGCAGGUAUAUCUUGAUGAGAUAGUGAGGUUGCACGGGGUGCCAAAGUCAAUAGUAUCGGAUCGAGACCCCCAGUUUACUUCACACUUUUGGAAGAACCUGCAGGAAGCUUUGGGCACACGGCUCGAUUUCAGCAUUGCAUUUCAUCCUCAGACAGAUGGGCAAUCAGAGAGGACCAUUCAGAUUCUGGAGGAUAUGCUGCGAGCGUGUGUCAUUGAUUAUAAGGGCAGUUGGGCAAAUCACCUACCGAUAGCCGAGUUUGCUUACAACAAUAGUUAUCAAGCUAGCUUGGGGAUGGCACCAUUUGAAGUCCUUUACGGGCGAAAAUGUCGAUCCCCUAUAUACUAGAGUGAUAUGGGCGAACGUGCGGUAUUGGGCCUCGACGUUUUGCGGGAGGCGGAAGAGAAGGUCCGUCUCGCCCGCCAGAGGUUGCUCACGGCUCAGUCUCGAUAAAGAAGCUAUUCGGAUAAACGCCGUAGAGAUUUAGAGUUCGCGGUAGGAGACCGCGUGUUCUUGAAGGUUUCACCUAUGAGAAGUGUGAAGCAUUUUGAGGUUUGGGGAAAAUUAAGUCCCUGGUAUAUUGGGCCGUAUGAGGUAUUAGAGCGUGUUGGAGCGGUAGCUUACCGACUUGCAUUGCCGCCGAAGCUCGCGGAUGUUCACAGCGUAUUCCACAUCUCCAACCUUCGCAAAUAUAUCCAUGACCCCGACCACGCAUUGUUGUAUGAGCCUCCGGAACUUCAAGAAGCUAUGAGCUAUGAAGAGUUCCCAGUGUCGAUCAUCGCUCGAGAAGUGCGUAAGUUGCGGAAUCGUGAAAUCCCCUAUGUUAAGGUACGGUGGAGCAUUCACGACGAUCGCAAAGCCACCUGGGAGCUUGAGGAUUUAAUGAAGGAGCAUCACCCUCAUCUUUUUGAGGUGUGAGUAAGGUAUGAGUUAAGUUUGAGUUUUAGUUGAGGUUUGAGUUCGUUUCGAGAAUGAAACUCUUUUAAAGGUGGGGAGGAUGUAAGAAAGUGAAUUCUCGGAAAGCAAGAGUUGGACUUCAAUUAGAAUCGACUAAUUGUCGGUUGGGUACACUUCGGAAAGGCCGAAGGCAUCGAAAGUAUCAAAAGUGCAUUGAGGAGGGUCUCGGAGAGCAAGGUAGUGAAACUGCAAGUUGCAGAUUAUGUGCUCUCGGGGACCGGUCCCUCAGUAAGGGACCGGACCCGGUACGUGUGGAAAUGGGUAGACUGAUGUCUCCGCAAAAAUUGUGCUCUCGGGGAUCGGUCCCUCAGUAAGGGACCGGACCCCGUACGCGUAGGGGCUGGCAGAGGGAAUUCUGCCCGAAAUCUUGCUCUCGGGGACCGGUCCCUCCAUAGGGAGACCGGUCCCCGUACCCGAAAUAUGCCCAGGCUGGGCAGGGCAAGAGAUGUGAAGUUGAGGGGCUUAUUGGCAAUUGUUGCAUGAGAAGGGUUAAAUAGGGGAUUUCCCCACUCUUCUCUCCCACUCUCACUCAUAACAUAUUCUCUCCCUCUCUCUCUAGGAACUUUCCCUCUCUCUCUAGAAGUGGAGCAAGGAGGAGGGAUUGGAGGAGAAGAAGACCAAGGAUAGGAUUUCCACCAUCUUCAUCUUCUUCCUCACCCUUGGAGAAGCUUCUUGAGGUAAGCUUCUUGGAGCUUUCAUGGUAAAUCCUUAGGGCUUCGUCUAUAUGCUCUAGGAUUGGAUUUGUUGGACCCCUUUGAUGCUAGAUAGUGGUAUAGUGGUUUAUUGCUAGAAUCCAAAGCUCUAAUGGUGUAUUCUUGCAAUAGUACUAACCUAGGGCUCCAAAUGGGGUUUUUUUUCGAAAUAGAGUUUGAUCUCAAUUGAACAUGUAUAAACCUAAUUGCUAGGCUUUCCGACAUGUUGGCGAAGUCGAUUUGGCGAUUCGUCGAGCCGGUGCGAAGAUAUUGCCGAAAAGGACCCUCGUGGCUUCGUUUCGGCCUAGAGGGCCGAGACGGCGCUCUAAAAUCGCGAAGUCGGUGUCAUAGCUUUGUAACGUCGUUAAAAGGUGGGUGGUAUCAUCCCGAAACAGUUGAGCUGCUCCCUAUGUCUAAGUAAAUAUGUAUUGAUCAUGCUUCACAUGUGAACCUUGUGCAUUAUAGGGUGUCUAAUGGUUAUAUUUACUAUUCUUGCAUGCUCCUUUGUAGUGUAGCAUAGGAGGCUUGACACUUGAGCUUAGGGUGCAUGAGAAUGAGCUAUUGUGAUAUAGAGCCCUAUGGUGAUAAAGAUAAGUGACAACUUGAUCUUGUAUUGAUGAAAACAAUGACAUGCGAACUAGUGUACUCAAGACUCCGUAUCAUGACGAGUGGCAUGUAAACCAAGUGAACAACUUGGUGAGUGGCAUUAUAAUUUAGUGUAAAAGGACACUUAUGAUAUGAUGACUUAGGGAUUAGAUCAGUUUCCCUAGCUUGACACAUUGCAUGAGAUUGGUGUAGCAUUGAUGACCCUAGUGACAGGGUAUCCUCAGUUGACGAGGAUUGGAUUAUACUCGCAUAGUCUGUUUUUGGGUUGGUCGCUCCACCCAUUAGUGCACUCCGGAGGUGGUCACGUAGAGGACAGACGUAGUUGUCCGCAGACGGCCCUGGGUGGGUUGACAAGGUCCUCACCUAGGGGAUUUCAGAUGCGAGUCGAGGGCGAACCUUCGGGUUAGCCAAGGAUUGGAUGUUGGACUCAUGAGAGUUAUAAACAUUGGGCAUAUUGAGCAUAGUAGAAUUGCAUUCAUGCUUGAUAGAGAUGUAGUAGCAUGUUAGUAGAUACAUGGUUACAUUGUUUAUUCUUGUAUCUCCAGGCAUAAUAGUAUCUUGCAAUUCCUUUAUUAUGCAUCAGUUUCAGCUUCAGAUAUCUAUCUAUCUACCUAUCUGCUUAUACCUGCUUAGACCUAGUGGGGAGAUCGGCGAAGUCGGCGGCCGAACCCACUGAGAACUAUGGAUAAUAGUUCUCACCCCACUUUGUUGCAGGGCCGAGUUCGAGUGCUCCCGGCGAGGACCGCGGUAAGGGCAUAGUGCCCUAGUCUAGUUAGAAGCCUCCAUUUGUAUUAGUCUACCUAUGUACUUGUGAGACGUAGAUGUAUCUAUUGGAGAGUUGCAUGUAUUUUGGGUUUAUACUAGAUGUGAUAUGAACAUGGAUGUAUAUAUUCAUUUUGGGACAUAUAAAUGUAAACUUGAUGUAAAUAAUGAUGGAUAAUUGAAUGUAAUAGCUAGAAUAUCUCUCUUUAUUUACUUGUAUAUUACUAGUGACUCUUGCUUUUAUUUGUUAGCACUUGUGGUGCUUCUCGUUGAUCAUGUAUGUUGUUUGAGUUCUUCCUGGGUAACUCUUGUACAUGAUUGUUGAUGCUUUGCCUUGGCCAGACAGGGGAGGUGCUGUCCGUUCGGCGUCUGUUCGACGUGCCCGAACCAGCCAAACUGGCGGUCUCGGGGCAUGACAAAUUAAAGUGGUAUCAGAGCAUGCUAAGAGUAAGUAAAGAGAGAGUCUAGGAUGGACCUAGGAGACCCUAGGAUGGUAAACCUUAGGGUUAUAGGUGCGUGAGUGGAACGUGAACUUAGUGCCCUUCUGUGUAAUCUUUCUUUCAACUCUUUGAAACAUCGGUCACACUCGUCACCCCACACAAACUUAGUGCCGUGCUGUGUAAGACGGGUAAGUGGAACAACAAUUUUCGAGAAACCCUCCACAAACCGCCUAUAAUAGCUCGCCAAGCCGACAAAACUGCAGACCUCCGACACAUUCGUCGGACGAGGCCAAUCCUUGAUCGCCUCCACUUUCCUCGGGUCAACAGAUACACCACCCUCGAAAAUCACGUCCCAAGAAGGCAACUUCACGGAGCCAAAAGUCGUACUUCUUCAACUUUACAUAAAGCUUUUCCUCCCGAAGGGCUUGUAGCACAAUCCUCAAAUGUUCCUCGUGCUCCUCGUCGCUACGAGAAUAGACCAAUAUGUCGUCUAGAAAUAUCACGACAAAUCGAUCCAAGAAAGCCCUGAAAACACAGUUCAUCAGAUCUAUGAAAGCUGCCGGUGCAUUGGUAAGCCCAAACGGCAUAACCGUAAAUUCGUAGUGUCCAUACCGCGUCAGAAACGCGGUCUUGUGAACAUCUUCCGACUUAAUCUUCAACUGAUGGUAGCCCGACUGAAGAUCUAUCUUCGAAUACACCCGAGACACUUGCAACUGAUCAAACAAGUUGUCGAUACGGGGCAACAGGUACUUACUUUUAAUCGUGACUUUAUUAAGCUCACGAUAAUCAACAUAAAGACGGAAUGAUCCGUCCUUUUUCUUCACAAACAGCACCAGGGCUCCCCAAGGUGAUAUACUCAGCUUAAUAAACCCCUUGUCAAGCAGAUCUUGCAACUGAGCCCUCAACUCCUUUAAUUCGGUCGGUGCCAUUCGAUAAGGAGCUUUCGAAAUCGGCGCAGUUCCGGGAACCAAGUCUAUUACGAACACGAUUUUCCGAUUCGGUGGUAUCCCCGGUAACUCCGCGGGAAAUACAUUCGGAAACUCCCGAACCACAGAAACGUCCUCAAGCGCCGAAGCUUCUCUACAAACCUCCACUACGAUUGCCAAAUAAGCCGCGCAAAUGGCGCUAACUAGCUUCCUUGCCCUCGACGCCGACACCGUCAUGGCGAAGAGUGAACUCUUGCAAGCAUGAUAGGUGAACUCUUCUUGUCCAGUCUCACGAAAAGUUAUAACCCUACUCUUGCAGUCGAUAGACGCAUAGUACUUCGAGAGCCAAUCCAUGCCCAAUAUUAAAUCGAAGUCCUUCAACCGCUUAAGCACGAGCAAUCGCGUCGGCAUAAUCCAGUCGCCUACUUGUACUGGACACGCCAAAGUCCAAACACUCCUUUCUAAUGAUAAAUGAACGCUCAGGGGCUUCAACCCGCCAAGUGCUUUUACUCAAUUGGACCUCAAUGCCAUGCAUUUCCGUGAAAGAUCGGCUAAUGAAUGAAUGAGUUGCACCUGUAUCAAAUAAAGCGCUAGUUAGCUCUAACUCCACUUAUUAACACCAUACCUGCCACAAUGUCGCGGUCGACGACCUCAGCAGGUUCCUCCGCUUGAGCCACAAACACCUGGCCACUAGGAGUCGGUCGGGGCGCCUCCGAUUGAUGUGGUUCCAUCGCACGUCGAGCAGACAUCGCAGCUGGCGGAGCUCCACCAAACUGUCUCUGAGUCAUCGGAGUCGACGCAACAGACGGGGCAGGCGACGAUCUUUCCGGGCACUGACGGCUAAUAUGUCCCACCUUUCCACAUCUGAAGCACCGACCCUCCCGAUGCUCGCAAUUUAUUAGGCGAUGCUCCCCGCCACAGAUCACACGCCGAGUUGGUCCAUGGCCUUUCGACUGCGCCUGCUGAUACCUUGGGGGCUUCUUGGAACUAGACAGUCCCCCCGAACCACCCAUGGGCUGCUUCUUUCCUUUGUCCUUCUCAAACACUUCGCACUCCUCCCGCGCGCAAGCAUUUCCAUGCUCUACCCAAAGAGCACGAUCCAGCACCUUCGCAAAGGUCCGAAACUUGAAGGCAUGCACCAUCUUAAAUAUCUCGAGCUAGAGUCCCCGCACAAAGCACUCUGCCUUGUCUUGUUCACUUCGCGCCACAUCCGGGGCGCAAUUCACAAGAUGCGUGAACUCCCGCUCGUGUUCCCUCACGGUGCGACCGCCUUGCCUCAGCUUUCGAAAGUUUUUCCGCAUCUUUCUUUUAUUACUAUCGGGAAAGUAUUCGGUGAACAUCAACCUCCGGAACUCCUCCCAAUCGAUCGAGGGAAGAUCCGGGGAUCGAUCCUUCUUCACUCUCCUCCGCCACACUCGAGCCGACUUCUCGAAGCAAUGCGCGGCCAAGUGCACUUUAUCCUGCUCCAAGGUGUAGAUGUCCUCGAACGGGGUCUCCACGACUCCACGACCCAAGGAUCUAUCACCUCCCCAUCAAAAGUCCUCCCCAUCAAAGGUCGGAGGAUGAAACUUCAAAAAUGUCGUGAGAGUCGCAAGCUCACGCUCCCUCUUAGCCUUCUUAGCCACCGCAUCAAGAACCGAAGAGCUCGAAGCCGUCAGAGGAAUACAUGCCGGUGGGGGACGUGCGGCCACCGGAGCCGCAGCCAUGUCCACACCCUCAGCCGCAUUAGGGGCGCGAGCCAAGGGCGCGGGCGGAUCACGUCCUUUGGGUGCCGCCGCCGCCGCCGCCACUUGCCGCUCCAUCAACUCCUAGAGCCGCUCGAACCGAUCCUCUUGGCGCUGCACCGCACCAACUAGUGUAGUCACUUGCACCCAUAGCUCCUGCACUUCAUCAGAUCCAGAAUGCUUGGGCACCUCAGAAGGUGGUGCCGGAGUGGAUCUCGUCGCGGGGCAUGUCAUUGGUGCUAUUAACUCCUAAAACGCAACAAUUUGGUUAAUCACCUUAACCCACGAACUCUACGCAAUUUAAGGACUAAACAAUCCAACACCAAAUCAGGUGGAAGCACACAAGUAUACUAAUUCCCAAUCCUUAGCGUUAUGUUGUCGGCCGCCAACACAACUUCCUCAAAUUGAGAACAAGUAUUACUUGAAUCCAUCUUUAACAACCACUAGAGACAUACUAACAAUUACAAUCAUGUACAUCUAGUUGCCCAGGUAAACAUAACAACAUACAUGAACCAUGCGAGUACCAUACACGCAAGAGCAAGAGAGAACUAGCUAUUACAUAGACAUUCAUCCAUUUUUACAUGUUUCCACCAACAUACAUACAUUGGUUUACAAAUUCAUCUCAUGAUAUAUGUACAUCCAUAAGCAACCUCACCCAAAAUACAACAAUUCUCCCAAAAGGGUACAUAAACUCUAAUGCAUAGGAGGUCGCUAUCUAGGGCGCUAUGCCCUUACAGCAGUCCUCGACCGGUCCGCUCGUGCUAGGCCCUGCAACAAAGUGGGAUGAGAACUAAUAAUAAUUUUCAGCGGGUUCGGCUACCGACGCCGCUGAUUUUUCCACUAAGUCUAAGUAGGCAUAAGUAGAAGGGUUAGCAAUAUAUACAAACAUCUAGUAUGCUACUAUGCCUUGGCAAUAUGAAGUAAUAAACUGGUGUGGUAAACAUGUAAUAGCAACUACUAUGCUCAUGAUGCAUGCCAUUUCCAUUUCAUAACCCAAUCAUUCCGGCUAACCCGAAGGUUGAGCCCCGACUCACAAGCGAAUCCCGCAACAUGAGGAGACGUCCGCUACACUCACCCGGGACCGUUUGCUGGGUAGCUACGUUAACCCCUACCGUGAAGUACUCCGGAGACCACUGCUUGGGUGGAGCGACCACCGCCAAGCAAAACAGACGUAUGUGAGCAUAAUCCAUUCCUCUAUCCCAAGGAUACCCUACCAUCUAGUGGUAACCAAGCCAGGGAAGACACCAAUCCCAAUUCUCAUAUCAUGAGUGUUCACAGUUUUCUAUCCAAAUGCCACCUUGUCACAAUGUCUCUAGCCAAAUGCCACAAUGUUACAAUGUCUCUAACCGAAUGCCACAAUGUCACAAUAUCUCUAGGUUCUCAUUAUCAUACCGAAAUGCCACUUUUGAUGCCACAAAGUUUUCUAGGUUCUCAAUGUCAUUGCACUAUAGAGUUCUUGUUCAUAACCCAAUCCUCAUUCACCUAGCCACUAGGUUCCAUCUCAUAUUCCUACAAAUACCAUGAGAGCAUGUAAGGACUGGAAUAACCAACAAAACUACUUUGCAAUACAUGAUUACUAUACAUGAACAUAUAUGGCCAAUAAAGCGACAUAGACAUAAAAGGAAAUCCGAAUGUUCCGGAUAGCACCCCCCACCUCUAAACUAUGUCGAGGUGCGAGAAUCCAAGCUUUAUGAUUUAUGGACGUCGAUUCGGCUCGACCCGACGCAAACAAAGCAAAAAACUAUACUUUUUCUUAAGAACUUGCCGCACGCCCGUAGGAACUCCAAACUGAGUUACCCACUGAGUCGGUUUUACCUUCAAUUAGGUUUUUAUAAGGUUAAUUUACAUCUAACCCAAUAUAUGGCAAAACCCCCAUUCAAAACCCUAGAAACCCACUAUUGCAAGAAUACUUCAUAUAACUCAUGAUUCAAGCAAUAAAUGAGAAUAACAUCACCUAGGGUUCAUCCAACUCCAUUCCUAGGGUAUUUAAACCAAACCCUAACCAUCUACCAUUAAAGCUCAUGAAGCUUACCUCAAAACUAAGCUUCCUCUUGAGCCAAGGAAGAAGAAGAGGAAGAAGCUUCACCUCCAAGCACUACUCUCCACCAACUCCUCCUCUUGGUCCAACCCUAGGAGAGAGAGAGAGAGAGAGAGAGAACUUAGAGAGAGAGAGAGAGAGACUUUUCUCUUAUGUUUGGAGAGUGUGAGGGAAUGAGAGGAAAUGAGUUGGAACCCACUCAUAUACACUCCCAUUGCAUAAUAGCACCAAGCCCCCUCACACAAAAUAGGGUUUCACAAACCCACCCAUUUCACGAGUACGAGGUCCGGACCCUGCACAAGGUCCGGACCACAUAAGCAUUUCCAUUGAGAAAUUUUCUGAAAAUUUCCCACAAUGCUUACCAGGGUCCUUCAUACCCUUAUAAACCAUUCCGACGCAUUUCAGACAUUUACGAACCUCUCCGAAGCAUCCAAAACCACACUUUGGUCAAUUUCGACCGAAGUUCGGUUUUACGCGUCGAGGAUUUAUUACCUUACAUCAACCAUUUCUACACAACCCAAUGAUCUGCCUUUUUCCCGUUGAAGAUCCGAGGAUUGCACCUCCUGAAUUCAUUCAAACAGUCCAUCAGCCGAUCCUGCUCCUCACCUGACACCAUCGCCUGUAAGACUGUCCCUGCAUUAGCCACAUGAAUCGGCGGUGUCACCACUGUCUCCUUCCUAGGCUCGGCACUCAGGGCUACACGCGAAGUGUCUGGUGCUAGUGACUGUGCCCUCGCAGUCGCACCUCUGGCCGGUGCUGGUGGUGUAGGGUCCUGAGCCACCCUGGUAGCGGCCUGCUGGAGUAGCAAAUCCUCUAGUCGUUUCAUCUUCGCCUCCUGUCGGAGCGUUGCAUUCGCUUGCUGUUGCGCCGCCGCCUACUGCUGCACCACUAAGUCUGUCAACACUACAAGCUGAUCUCUCAACUCACGGACCUCACUAGUUCCAGAGGUAACGGAGGUCUCCAACUCCUCAGCAUCAGCUGCCUCGGCCGCCUGGCGGUCCUAUAACGAGUCGAAGGCAUUUCGAGCUGCAACAAACAUAACAAGUGCAAGUUAGUAAAACCAACGCUAUCGCAAUCCCAAUCAAUUAAAAUAACAUCCCAAUCAUGCGAAAGUAAUGAAAUGUGCCACACAACUAACUUUCAAUGUCACGUUGUCGGCCGCCAACGUGACUUUCCGUGAAAUUAGUAAUUGUACAUUUCGAUCAAACUCCAACAAUUCGGAGUUAAUUAAGUACCCAAUCAUAAUACUUUCGCUCCAAAAUUAAAUAGACCCCCCGUCUCUCACGAGCCUAUUUCCUAUAGUCCAGCUAGCCUAAGGUUUGCUACGUCCACUGUAACAUACCAGAUUUUGGUAUAAAAAUAAAAAUAAAUAAAAAUAAAGUGAGAUACUAUUUUUAUUGGAUUUAGAGGAGUAAAAUAUAAGUCAGAAGUGACUUGUGCUGAAAUCGGAAUGAAAGCAGAAAAUCUAGAAUUUUUUGUUGGAAACGGGACAGAUAAAUUAGCAGAAAAUACACAGUCUCAGAAAAUUAUGAAAAUUGGAGGAUAAGUCAGAAAUAUUUUUAUGAGACUAGAUUUAAAGUUUCAUAUUUUUUUGACACCCGGAAGGUGGAAAAUAAAAUCCGACAGCUAUCUGAUAAAGAUUACAGUUCGGUACAAUUUUCGGUGACCAAAUGGGGUCGAAACUAAAAACUUAAAAUAUAUUCUUACUCAGUACGUUAAACUCAGCCUGUCUGUCAAAUUUGAGCGCAAACAGACAUUCAGAAGGGCUCCAACUGUUCCGAACUGCUAAACUGCCUGGAGUGAAUAGUGUUGAGGGGCUAUAAGUGUAUAAGAAGCAUUUGCUUCUUCUUCCUCUCCUUCAACCCGAGCGCACACACGCACGCACGCAUGGAGAGAGGAGAGAAACUCUCCUUUCUCUCUCUAAAGAUCUCUCUCAUCUCUCUAUAUCUCUCGCUCAAAUUCGCGGUGUUGGCGAAGAAGAUGCUCGCGAACGCGUUGAGAGCGACGGAUCGAGCUUUCGUGCGCCCGUUGGAGCGGCGUGUUUUCGUCGCGGCAUUCACAUUGUGGUAAGCUUUUGAGAUUUGGUUUAAUCCUUAGCUUUAAGUGUUCUAAUAGCCUCUAAUGAGCAUUGUUGGCAUGUUGCUCCAUUUAAUUUGGAUUAUUUGGAGGUUAAUUGCAUCUAGGGCUCAAAAAUGCUAGUUUUGUAAAUAUGAGGGUUUGAUCUCAUUUGACCCUCUGUAAACCUAAUUGCUAGGUAAACGAAUGCGUUGGCGAAGUCGGUUCGGCGAUUCGUCGAGCCGUUGCGAAGUUAUUAAAGAAACGGACGUUUAGGCUUCGUUUCCGCCUGGAGGGCCGAGGCGACAUCGUAAACCCAUAAAACGGAUUUGAAGCAUCGUGGCACAUAACCGAAGACCUUUAAUUUUCAGAUCAUGAAUUGGAGGCCGUUCGGGUGGUCGCGCGANAAGUCGGUUCGGCGAUUCGUCGAGCCGUUGCGAAGUUAUUAAAGAAACGGACGUUUAGGCUUCGUUUCCGCCUGGAGGGCCGAGGCGACAUCGUAAACCCAUAAAACGGAUUUGAAGCAUCGUGGCACAUAACCGAAGACCUUUAAUUUUCAGAUCAUGAAUUGGAGGCCGUUCGGGUGGUCGCGCGAGAGAUCAGGCCAAACCGGGUGCCGGGUGUCGCGGAAGGCCGAUUGCAAGUGUCGACAAGCAAUCGGAAUGCGAAAUGAGGUGGAUUGUGCUUACUGAAGCGACUAGGUCGCCUGUAUGUCUAAGUAAAGUGAAAUUCAUGUUGAUGCAUAUAAAUGCUAGAUGGAUGCAUGUAGUAAAUGCUAAAGGGAAUGCAUGCUAAAGAUGUAAUAUAGAAAUGCUAGAAUGCAUGAUGAUAUAGUAUAAAUGAUGCUAGUUGAAAGUAUGAGAUAAAUAACAUUUUGCAUGUUAACAUAAAGUAGAGAACAUGCUAGUUGUAAUGUAUAAUGAUAAGUUGUAAAAAUGCUAAUUUGGAUAAGCAUGUCAUAUAAAUGCUAGAUAAUGUAUGUUAAUUAUCUAAAGUAAGAUGCUAAGAGAUUGUACAUGAAGUGACAUAAUGUAAGAAUGCUAAAUAAAUGCAUGAAUGAUGUGGUAUAGAAAUGCUAGAAUAUACGCAUUGGUUAAUGUUAGUUAAAUGCAUGUCAUGAAAAUGCUAAAUGUAAACGUGGGGCCAAUACUAAGAUAUACUUGAUGAUCAUGUUGUAGAGAUACUAAUGUUAAGUAAAGGAUAUGGGCAUGUGGACAUAUAUAUAUAUAUGCACAUAGAUCGAGUGGCAUUGAACAUAGUGUAUUGAACAUAGGUUAAAUAUGGAUGAUAUUGAACCUAGUGUUAAAGAACAUAGGUUGGACAAGAACCUAAUGUUAAAAAACAUAGGUUGGACAAGAACCUAGUGUUAAAAAAUAUAGGUUGGACAAGGACCUAGUGUUAGAGAACAUAGGUUGGACAAGAACCUAGUGUUAAAGAACAUAGGUGGAGAAUGAACCUAGAGGUAAUUAAAUCUAGAGUCAAGUAAACCUAUGUUAUGGCAAGUGUGGCCUAGAGAGUGGCAUAUGUGACAAGGUAGGAUCUGGUUAUGUCAUUGUGGCUAUAUGUAUUCCCAAAUUGGGAAUUGGAUCAUACUCACAUUGGUUCCGGCUUGAGGGAGGUAGCUCCUCCUCAAGCAGUGUACUCCGGAGUGUAGACACCACGGGGAGAGUACCCCGGCGAAGAUCCCUCGGGUGGUAGUGCCAAGUGCCACCCCCGAUAGACGGGAUAUAUGGAUUGUGAGCUUGGGGUAACAACUGUUAACCGAGAUAAUUGGGUAAAGGCCAAAGUGAAUGUGUGAAAAUAGGCAUUAUGAGCUAUGGAUUUGGUAUUCCAGUUGAGUGGAUUUAUGGCCGAGGUGCAUGUGGGACGUUCUUCACCUCGAGCCUGGAUGUAUGCGGUAUUCCGCAGAUGAUUGACUCGAGACCGAGUCGGGUGGUUAGCUUGGCUAGGGUAGAGGAAAAUCUUAGGAGCAAAUAACUAAUGAUGUAAAGUGACAAGAUGUAUAAAUUAUGGAAAAGCUAUGGAUAGCAUGAUAGAAAGUAAAAUCAUUUAUUCUACUUGUAUAGUUGCAUAAUUCGCAUAUAGCAUGGCAUUAUUGCAUUCGUGAGGCAAAGCAUGGUUUUAUCAGUUGCAUAAUAAAGAUAUAUAUCUAUCUGUUUAUUGAACUAACUUGCAGUUGCCUCUCUUGGACCUAUUGGUCGAGCUUUUCUCUUGGGUAGCCGUGCCCACUGGAAACCAUGGAGUUGGUUCUCACCCCACGUUGUUUUGGGGUGUUACAGGUAUACACGUGAGCGGCGCAGCGGCGCGAGGCGAGGGCGUAGCUCCAUAGUUAGCGCCCUACCACCAAGACCAGAGAUAGCGGUACCUUGAGUCGGCCUUUACUUAGGGAUGUAAGAAAAUGAAAAGAAUCAAGUUGUAAUAAUUUGUAAUAAAAGCUUGAUUGUAUUUGGAAAUUAAAUGUAAUAAGUAAUUGUGAUGCAAAAUGUAUCUAGUGAAUGUGAAUGCUUGUAAUAGCAAGUAGAUUAUGUUUUUGAUACUCCCUUAUGCAAUCUUUGAUUGAAAUGUGUUCCUUGUUGGAACUUUGUACAUUGUAUUGAUUGCGACGCCUUGAAUGUACAGGGGAGACUCUGUCCGCGGUACAGGGGAAACCCUGUCCGUUCGGCGGUCUGUCGGCGGCGCCGCGACCUGGCCAAAUAGGCGGGUGGUCGCGGGGCGUGACAUCCACUAAGACUCAACCCUAGGCUCUGAUACCAUUAUAAUCUGUCACGCACGGGCCUCAGCAGAAGCCUAUCCGGUACGCGCACAGACCCGCCGUAUGCCCGGUGCAUACUAGGCGUCUACAAUAAACAAGUUAGAAGUACUACAAGUAGAUGGGAACAACUAACAUGAUAUCAGACCAUACAUCAUAAUAUACUCUCAAAUAACAAGUAAAAAGGAAAGUAGAACUACUAUCAUAAACAUCUCCAAAGUAUAAAUAUACAUUAAGUAGCUACAAAAUAAUCAACCAACAACACAGGGUGGUUACUAUACAUCCAAGAUAAAACACCUCUCCAACUAGUAAAAGGAAAGGCAACCACCUAGUAGGAACUCCAAGAUAUGCCUAGCUAGACGCGACACUCUUGCCGCGAUCCCUAGCCUUUCCCGCUAUAUUUGGCUCUGUAAACAAAACAACAACAAACUGGGCAUGAGAACUAUUAGUCAAUAGUUUCUAGUAGGAAAGCCGCCGACAUCAGCGAAUUACACCACUAUGUCUCUGAGGCAUAAAUAGUAAGCAUGCAUAACUAUAACACGAUAUGAAUAUUAAACAAUUAAUGAAUUGCUAAUACAACUGUAAGGAAGUGAAUCAUCGAAAUCCGAGGAUCAGACUUCGAUUUGGAAUCGACUAUUCGUCGAGUGUGUAGGCUUCGAAAAGUCCGAAGGUGAUUAUAAUGCAUAAAGUGCCUUAAGGAAAGGUCCACGAGAGCACCAGUGCAAAACUUGCACUGGAGCAAAAAUGCUCUCGGGGACCGAUCCCUCGCAGGGAGGGACCGGUCCCAUCAGGCUGGGCUGCGGAGGUCUCUGAUGAGACCGGUCCCUGGCAGGCAGGGACCGGUUCCCGAACGUUGGCCCAGCAUGAAUUGGGCGAAAUUUGGCUAAGUCCUGAGAAUGCAGCUCUCGGGAACCGGUCUCUCGGGCAAGGACCGGUCUCCCGGGGACCGGUCUCUCAGGCAAGGACCGGUUCCCGAACGUGAAAACUCCUCUGCUCGAGAUGGCAGCUCUCGGGGACCGAUCUCCCCGAGCUGGGACCGGUCCCUCACUGCGAAAAUGCCCAGAGAGGGCUGGAUCAGAGGAUGAAAAGUUGAGGGGGCUAUCUGCAAAAUGGCCUUUAAUAGAGGUGGGGGACCCUUCUCUUUCCCUCAUUGCUCUCUAACUCUCUCUCUUCCUUUCCCUCUCUCUCUCUAGAAAGAAAAGAAAGAGAAGAAGGAGAAGAAGAAGAAGAAGAAGAAGGAAAAGAAAAGGAAAAAGAAGGAGAAGAUCAAGAAGAAGGAGAAGAUCAUCUUCUUCCCUCUCUCCUUCAAGCUAGGGCAAGCUUGGAGCUUGGUUUAGAGGUAAGCUCCAAACCCAUCCAUGGUGGAUUUCUUAGGAUUGGGUUUUAUUGCUUAGAAUUGGUUCAAAUAGAACCUAGAGGAGAUGAGUAGAUGGUUCGGGCUUGCAAUUGAAGCUCGCACCACGGAUUUCUUCCCCGUUGCCAUCCUAGGGCACGGAAUUGGGAUUUUGGAAAUUUAGGGUUUUGAUCUAAUCUAAUAGGUCGCAAACCUAAUUGCUAGGUCUCGGAACGCGUCGGCGAAGUCGGUUUCUCGAUCCGACGAGUGGGUGAGGAGAAAUCGCCGAAUCGAGUACUUGAGGGCUCGCUUCGCCCCGAGGAGUUAGAGCGACACGCAAGAACCGCAACGUCGAGUUUUCUAUCAUCGCGGCAUCACCAAGAGGUGGGUGGUGUCCAUCCCGAAGCAAUCGGGCCCCCCUUCUAUGUCUUAGUACAUGUCGAUUCUUGCAUCUUGUAUUAUUGCAUUAUAGGAUGAUUGUGCAUUGCCUUUCCUUAUGCUUUCCUUGAUGAUAUCGUAGCAUGUAUUCGAUACUUGACAUAGUGGAUCGAUAAGGAUUGGGUCGAGACUUGUGAACCCUAUAGUGCAGAGAAAGAAAUGGGCUCAAUGGUUGAUCUAAUGAUAAACAAAAAACGAGUGGCAUCUAGUCGAUAGUAAAUCAUGGACGAGUGGCAAUCUAGCUUAUAGUNAACGAGUGGCAUCUAGUCGAUAGUAAAUCAUGGACGAGUGGCAAUCUAGCUUAUAGUGUAUAAGAAAACAAGUGAUGCAUGUUAAACUUGGUGUAUACGACGCCUAUGGACUACAUGAUGGUAGUAACCUUAGAGGAUAGAGUACCCUAGAGUGGAGAGAAUUGGAUCAUGCUCACGGUCUGUUUUUAAAUAUUGUGAUGGAAGCCCCACACAAGUAGUGCGCUCCGGAGUUGGUCACGUAGGAUUGCCUAUUUUGGGUCCCAAGGGAUUGCCUAUUUUGGGCCUCGGCAGACGGUCUCGGUUCGUAGUGCGAGUUGACCCUCCCUACCUUCGAGAUGGCUAGUGAGCAGUAGGCGAGCUUUCAGAGAAGCCAUGAGAUUGAGAAACAAGUAAAUGAGAUUGAUGAAUAAGUGCAUAGCUUUACUUUUUGGACAUGUUGACGGGUUAGUUGUUUACCAUUUCAUUGUACAUGCAUCCAUAUGUUUAUGAUUCGGGCAUAGUAGUGUAGCUUUACUAUCCUGUCUUUACCGCUUUGCUUAUUACCUAUCUAUCUAUCCGGUUAUCUACUUGUGCCCACUUGGACCUAGUGGGGGAACCGGCGGAGUCGCGGCCGAACCCACUGGGAACUAUGGAAGAUAGUUCUCACCCCACUUUUUACAGGUUUGAGUUCGGGCGUCCCCGGUAAGCGUGAGGAUCGUGGUAAGGGCCUGGCGCUCUAGUCGUAUUAGCUACCUCCCUUUUGUAUUAGCUGUCACCCUUUUUGUAUUUGAGAGUAGAUGUCGUAUAGGGUGAGGUUCGAGUGAUUGUAUUUAUAUUUUGGGAGAAAGUAAAAGAUGUAAUUAAAUAUACAUAUUAUGUCAAAUGAAUGUAAUAGAUAGUCUCUUCUCUCUUCAUGUACUUGUAUAUGUUUUUUAACUUGUAUCUUGCUCUCGUCUUGUUGCACUGGUGGUGCUCCUUGAUCGUGUAUUUAUGAAUUGAUUCCUGGGCAAAUUUUUAUACAUGAUCUGUUGGUUAGCCUUGGGCGGACAGGGGAGGUCCUAUCCGUUCGGCGUCUGUUCGACGCGCCCGGGCCGGACCAAAUUGGCAACGGUCUCGGGGCGUGACAACAACCAUGCCUCCAAUGCACAUAAAAUUUAACAAAAAUAAAGACUACUCUAAUAUGAGUAAACAUGCUAAUGUCAUGUCCACCAAUGUACACUAUCUAGUAAUGAUAGUGAAUUAAUUCAUUUGGUUAACUUCACACAAUUUAUAAGGACCUACACGAGUAUAGUCUGGCUUGCGCCGUGCCUAAUGGGCCCCGUGGUAGUAUACACUCCCCACGGCAAUCCACUUCGGUGCCUAAUCCCUCACGGGCGAACAUGAUGUCGCGUAGGCCAACUCCGGAGUGCCGGCUUAUUAGGAGCGACCCUCACAAGCAUGUGCGAAUGAGCACAAUGGCAAGCAAGCAUGAUCCACAAUACAAAGACUCAAUCGUCAUGUCUAAAACAAGGUAUGUCCUCUAACGACCCAUAGGUCGGAGAGUAUGUCACAAUGUCAAGUUCUAAUCAUCUAACUAAGUCAUAUACUUCAACAUUAAGUUCAUACUACAUGUUAUCAUAUAAUUGCCAUUUUCACUUGUCUAUACAAGUAUACUACAAGUCAUGUAAGGUAUACUACACAUAAUUAAUAAGCAACACUUUCCACUGCAUAAAGGUUUGACUUAGCCAUAUGUGAUAUACAUAAUUAAAACAUCCAAAAUUCACUUAUAAUGCAUCUAACAUGAGUAUGCAUGAUUUCCAAUUGUAUAACAAUAACAAGAAGAUAGGGAGAGUUCAUCCAUUUCGGUGAGGUCAAACCUACCGGAUAUUCCUCGGAUCCCUUCGUUGCUCGAACGAAGAUGCCUUAUAGCCUUCUAGCAUCCUAACAAUAAUUCUAAAUCAAUUAGGACUUUUUAAUACGCCUCCCAUAAAAUCCUCAUAAUUCAACCCAAAAAAUAGAUAGAAAGAUACCUGAAAUAGAGAAGAACUCUAUUCCACACUCCACCUAAGGUUGGGAUGUUUCAAGUCGAACCUAGAAGAGAGUUUAACCAUUUCCAAUUAAGUUCUAAAGCUCAGCCAAGAACAAUCCCAAAAUCAAACUCCAAUUCUACCAAAAUCGCAUACCGAAAAGGCAAAUAAAAAGCUAAGCUUUCAAAGCUCUAAGCCAAACCCAACCUUGAGCUAGAAUUGGAAGUUUAUCCUCAAACUAACCUCCAACACAACCAACCUUCACCAAGGUGUAAGAACAAUCCUCCAAAGAAAAGGAGAAUAAAAUAAGAGCAAUCCCCAAAUUCACAAAGAAAUUGGAAAUGAAAGCUAGAGAGAGAAAGAGGAGAAGCCUACCAGUUUUUCUCCAAGCUCUAGCACAAUGAGAGCCAGCUCGGGUCGGUUGCGGAUUAACCCAAUGGCCAAAUUACUAAACCCCUCACCAACUCAAUUUGCCGCAUUAUGUACCGGUACUCGUAUUGGAGUACCGGUACCCGGCACUCAAGUAUGCAAAAACCCGAGCGUGGGGUCUUCGGGCUUAAUGCAGUGUACCGGUACCCGCCUGAUACAGUACCGGUACUCAGCUCCAGUACCGAUACUCACCGACUCAGUACCGGUACCCAACACUUAACUUCUCAACUCGAGAGCUACCCAUUCUGGCAACCCUGGCCUUUGGAGUACCGGUAUCCCACUCAGGUACCGGUACUCAAUACUCAAAACCCUGCAAUUUGCAAAUUUUAGUGUACCGGUACCCGCCUGUUGCAGUACCGGUACUCAACUCCAAUACCGAUACUCACCGACUUAGUACCGGUACCCAACAUCCAACUUCUCAACUCGAGAGCUACCCAUUCUGGCAACCCUCUGGGGUACCGGUACCCCACUCAGGUACCGGAACUCAAUACUCAAAACCCUGCAAUUUGCAAACUUUAAUGUCAGUAUUCCAAUCUCGCACCUAGCGAGCUUAAGUAAGGAAUCGAUGCACUACUGUUGAUCCCCAAAACAGCUAGAAUAGUUCAAAACACUAUUUUUACACUAGAACAUUGCAAUUUGCUAAAGUUCAGUGUACUAUAAAUAUAAAACCUGGAAUUUCUUUGCCGCUACACAGAUCUCAAUUCCUCAAAACCUGAGAGCUUACUCCUCACCAUUUUGUAUUGUGUACCGAUACCUAGAUUCCAGUACUAAUACUCAAUAUAAAAUUUGCAACUUGGCAGAUUUAUCAUCUCAGAAUCCGUUUUCGCGCCUGGUUUGCACCGAAAAUACUCGAAUAUUUUCCAAACCUCGUCGGAACUAUUCGAAUAGCCCUUUUAGGACUCUUUUCACUAGAACUCCAUAAUUUGUAGAAGUUCAUUGCACUACAGGCAUAAUAACUCAAAACUAAUCAAAAGAUUUGAUGGAAAAUGCGGCAGGCUUUGAAUUCUUCUAAGCUCAAAAGAUUGAAUGGAAAAUGCAGCAGGCUUUGAAUUCUUCUAAGCUGUUCAAGCACUGAAUACUCCUUAACUAGGAAAAGUCUGCAAACACAGAGUUCCACUUACGGGUUGAGAAAAGAAUAAAAAAGAGGGGAAGCAAGAAAAAGUACUAAGACAAAGAAUAAUUUAUCAAUCUCUCCAAAGGCACUGAUGGAACUCACAAGCUAAGCACUGACGGAAAUCACAAGAUAGCACGGCCCCCCCCAAAAAAAAAAAAAAAAAAACCAACAAACAAACACGCAAACAAACAAACGUCCACUGCAUGGUAAUAGAGAUAUGAGUUUCUUUCACUAGCUCUCUGGUUUUCUCAAUUGAUUUGGGCUGCGAAAGAGAAAAAUAGCAAAAGCUAAAAACUUUAGGCAUUACCUUUUACACAACAACAACUUAUUGCAAUGCUGACUGUCAUCGAGCAUCAAUAAAAAAUCAACUUAAGCAGUCAGUAAUGAGGAAAGAAAUAAGCAGCCAACAUAAAAAGUCAAUUUGACAUAUCGAGCAAGCAAAAUAAACCCUACAAGAGUCUGUAGUUUUAUACAUCUAAAAUGUAGUCACUGACGAUAAUGACGAUUACAAGCAGAGUGCUGAUGAAAUAUGUUGGUUCUGCACUAAAUUACACUGCAUAGGAAAUAUAAUAAAAACCAUCUAUAUAGUAAGCACAAUGAUGGUCAUAGAGAAGGGCACAAGCCCCAAAUUCUUGUUCAGUUGUGUAUCUUGAGACGCUUAACCGACCGGAUGAAAGCUCUGCAACAAAUUAAAUCAGAACCGACUACAAUGAGGAGAUAAUGUUGCAUAGAUUCAGAGGUCAAUAGUUAGGGAAGAUUAAGGACACAAUCAACUUACUCCCACGGCACAUCACCCACCAACAUCCAGUCUCCAUCUCCAUCCUCAUAAGUGACCACGUAGUGAUGACGAUUAUUAGGCGUUUGCUUACAUGUUUUACCAUCUGCGCCAUUCCCAUUGUCAAGAUUAUGAUCCCAAUUAGUAUGAGCGCCAAAGAGGAAACAAGUUUGGAGUGCAAAAUGGUAGAAAUUUUUUUAAAAAAAAAAGGGUAAAUGUUUAUAAAUCAUACCCAACCAAUUUCUUCCGUUGACUCUUGACAAAAACAUACUAAAGUUAAACAAAAGGCCAUUUGAUUAAUUGAUUCACGGUUUGAAAUAUUCCAAUAAUUCUAAAUAUUUUUAAUUGAAAAUAUUCAAAUUAUUACUAUUCAGCUCAACUCAAGUUGGAUAAGAUAGUUGUACAAGAUAUUAGUGAAGUACUGAAAUUAUUAUAGUUUCACAUAUAGGUGGCACGAAUACUAAAUUAUUAUGAUUUAUGAGAUAUUUUUAUUUUCAUAUUUAAUUAAUGAGAAUCAUUAGUAGUACGUCGAUAAAAAAAAAAAUACUAAUUCUAACAAACCUCUCUAACUCAACUUGCUGACAAGUAAGUAACUAGUAUAUCAUUAAUUCCAAAUAUAAAAUAUACGCCAUUCUCCGAACUUUACAAACCUGAAACUAAACAGCCUGAAAUUAAAAGAAUAUAUAUACGGUAAAAUCAAGAUUUUAAGCAUUCGAAUAAUAAUUUCAAGAUGCACCAUAAUAAUUUAGAUAAGGUCUAUAGGAUGAUACCAUUCGGCCUGUUGGGGAACAUGCGUUCAAGCGUGCGGAAGAGUGCUUCAUAGGAGUCGCAAAGGGAGAGAUCCACCUUCCUCCCGAUGGCCACCCCUUCCAUCUUAACUUUCACAAAAAUCGCUGCCCUUGCGCUGCCGCCCCCGCUGCCGCUCCUUUUGAUCGGCGGCCACCCCACCAACACUCUGCCCCCAUUAGUACAUAUAUAUAUAUAUAUAUACACCACGUACGUCUCAAUUCAGUGGAAGCAACAGAACAAGAUUGGCAAAAUCAUUCCGAAAAGUUUCUCUUCAUCAUUUAACUUACUUGCCGAAGGCCUUUUGAUGAUCACUAUCAUCAUCUUUAUCAUCGUUUCCUCGGCCUUUUUGCUCGAAGAGGGGCAAUGCGGCCCUCUCGCUGGUCUCGUCGAAUCCCCUUUUCCUGCGUGACAGGGAGGAGGAGGAGGAGGAGGAGGAGGAGGAGGAGGAGGAGGAGGAUGUGUAAUCAUUGAGAUCGAUUUCGUUUAUCAAAUCGUUGUUGGGUAAGGCUAGUCCCAAUUCAAGCUCCAUUUUAUUUUGUGUUCUUCCUUUUUUACAUUCGGACGUCGCAAAAGAAAAUAGUGAGAGAUGCAAGCUUUAUUAAUUUGACGAAUUAAUGGACUAGACUGGAUAGAAAAACGGUGAAGGUUUUUAUUUAUUUAUAGCGCGAGCGCGAGAGCGAGAGAAGACGAGACGAUCGAGCAAAAUGGCAUGGCAUGAGAGUGAGGGAAGAGAUAUAGAGGGGGAACAGCGUGCAGGGCUUUUAGGGGACCCAACACCCCACCGACACGGGUCCUUUUCCUUGGAUGGUCCUCUUAUUAGGCUCUAGUACUAGUACUAGUACUAGUAGUGUAGUGUUUGUCUCCUUAAUUUCCCUUCUUUUUAAGUCGGGGACAAUUUAAGGAAAGGGGGGAGGCAAAUCUAUGCGGGGCCCAGCUGUUUCUCCAGCCAUUUCCCUCUCCGAGCACGACAUGGGGAGGCAGAGAGCAUGUGGGUGUUUCAUGUCAGCGCAAAAAUUUGGCUGCACCACAUGCACCGCAGUCCAAAUGUUAAAUAAUUAAUACGGACACGGACCGCAAAUUCAAAAUCUACCCCCUCCAUUGCAGUUUUUCUCCUAGCUAGUUUUAUAAAUAUUAAUUUGUGCAUAAAAUAUUUUAUGAGUGGAGUGGAUGAUAGAUAAUCAUGCAGAUCAAAGCCGCGUUGAGAGAGAAGAAGCACCAGAAUGAUGAGAGAGUUAUACACGAAAAAUCAAUUUUUCAACAAAAAUAAAAAAUAUUGUUAAUUGACUCUAAAAACUAAUUAUAUAUAAAGGGUCGAUAUGCCCAAAUUCUACUAUAAACAAACAUAAUAAAUUUUAAUAUAUUUUUAAACCAAGUCAGAUUAAAAACAAUCAAAUAAUUAGACUCAAAAAAGAAAAAAAUGUACAACUUUCUAAAAAUAACUUAAAACGGAGACCGAAACAAUUAAAUUUGAGCUCCAAACUCGGCCAAAACGGCCUUACCGUUCAAUUUGUAGAUUUCAAAAAGUAUGUUUCGAGUUGAGAUUGCUCACUGAAAUCACACGCUCGAGCUAAAAGUUAUAACCGUCUAUAGAUUUCUCACACCAAUUAUAAAAAUUACCAAGGUCGGGCAAAUUUCGUUCAGCUUGAUUGAGUCGCCCUUUUCAAGAAACUCUAACGUUAAAUUACCCGCAUCAGAUUAUUUGUAAUUUCUAUCUGUAUGUUCCUUUUUUCUUUUUUUUUUUUGGCAACAAAAAUUUAAAAACUUAAGAGGAAUUUUUUGAUUUUUUUAUUUUUAAAUAAAUCGUUAUCCAUGUACUAGCUAGCUAGGCUGCAUUACAGGCUAACAACCUUAAACACAAGAGUAAUGUACUUCUGUAGGUAUAUCUAAUUGUAUAUAUAUAUAUAAUUAGUAUUUUGGAAAGAAAAUAAGUGACAAUAUUAAUUGCUACAUGAAGCUUGCAAAUCAUUCGAUCUAUUUAAUAUUAUUUGAAUGGCCUGUACAACAAAAUUCAUAAGUUUUGAAUCCUAGUUUCUUUUGAGUUGAAUAAAAUUUCUUUUGAUAAUGUUGAUUUUAAGACUACUUCUUGACGAAGUAAUAGAAUUUAAUACUCGUGAUUAUUUAUUGAUAGACAUUUUAAUAAUUUUCAAAAGUCAGAUCAUAGUAAUUUUUGUACAAUAGAUGGAUAAGAUACACACGGGUCAGGAAAUGGUUAUUAAUUUCUCCUUGUCAGCCGUUAGGGUUGGGCUGUUGAGGGGAUCGGAAUCUUAAUUCGUGUGUGUAGUGUUGUGUGCAUUCAUUGGAUGCUGGUGGGGCCAGCAUUGAAUUAAUCCAUUAACCAAAACGCUGUUUAUAUGGGUUGGGGAAAGUCACUUGUGGUCCAUGCCACCGAAAGGGGUUAUUCUUUUGCUAAGGACCCAUCUAGGACUAUAUAUAUAUAUAUAUAUAUAUAUAGGUUCCUCAUUUUAAAUUAUUUUAGCUUCAUCACGUAAUAUUUUCAUGGCGAUGCUGUCAUCCUUAGUGGGUAUACAAAAUAUUCAUAACUUAACUUAAAGAGAGGAUAUAUUUUAUACUGGAAUAUUGUUUAGAAUUACCAACGGAGUCUAAGGCUUAGUUUGGGUGUGCAGUAGCGGUGGCAAAAGUAUUUCUAAAAGUUGUUGUAAAAAAGUUGUUUUAUAUAUAAACUGCUGUAGGAAAAGUAUGUAGACGUUUGGCAAAACAACCAUAUAUGACUAUGGUAGCGUGAUAGUUUUUUCAUUCUAUGCGUUUGGUAAAUUAGUAUUCAAAACACUGUUAUAAUGUAAAAUGACUAAUCAGGACUUUUGAUUCGAAAGUUAUAUUGGUAAAUUAGUUUGGUAAAUAUGUAUUUAAACACCCUCAACUAUAUUUCAUUAGAAAAUAGGUCCUUCAACUAUGCUUUCUUUUGAAAAUUAAUAUUUUUUAUAAUUUUAUUUUAUUUUAUUUUAAUUAAUUUAAUUUACUAUUAACUUUUAUUCAUUAAAUAUUUUAAUUUUUGCUAAAAUAAACUAAACCUGCUAAAUAUGAUGAAACUUUUAAUAAAUUUACUAUAAUUUUUAAUCUAAUUUACUAAAAUCAGACAAUUUAAUAAAUAUAAAAUCAAAAGAAUAGAUACGACUUUCUUAUAUAUUUAUCUAUUAAUUUCAUAAGCAUGGUACUCAUGUACUACCAGCAUAUAUGUACAACUUUCAUCCUGUGAAUAAAAUAUGUUUUACUCAGCAUGCUCAACUAUAUCCAUAAAAGUGGCAGAUUUACAUGAACACCGUGACAAACAAAUUGAAAGCGAACUCCAAAAAUUAAAGUUAAAGAAAAAAACAAGCACUAAUUAAAUUUCUUUCGAAAUACCAAAUCCAACAUACUAAUGAGGUUUUUCAUAAAGUUAAAAAUAAUUAAUCUGUAAAUAUGCGUUUUCAAAUUAAGAACAUAGUGAAGCUGAAUGAUCAUCUAUUCCUUAAACUAGCUGCAAUAUUAUCCCUCAAUUGGAUCAUUUCAUUAACCCCGUCGUCAGAUACAUCCUCACCAUCGUCAUCAUUGUCCCUAUCAUCAUCUCUUUCCACUUCAGGCACAAAAUCUGUAUUUUCAUCAUAUUCCUGAAAAUCUUUAUCAUUCCGUGAGCAAUGCCUUCGUAUAUAAUUAUGUAUUGCCAUUGUUGCAACUACUAUCAGUACUCUUGUUGAAUGGAUAACUAGGCAUAUCUCGUAAUAUAUUCCACUUCUUCUUUCAAAUUCCAAAAGUUCUCUCGGUCACACUACGUAAUGAUGAGUGCGUAUAAUUGAAUACCUCUUGUAAACCUAAUAGUUGCCCACCUCGACCAAAAUCUGGAAGAUGAUAUCUUUGAUUCUCAUACGGUCGUAAGAAUCCUCUAAUUUGAGGAUAUCCCGCAUCAACAAGAUAGUACUUUCCUGAUAACCAUGUAUUAAAAACAUUAUAAUUCUUUUAAUAGAAAAAAAAGAAAGGAUUAUUUAAAAUAGUAAACUUAAGCAAAAUGAAUACCAAGCGAAGGAUGAGGGAACUUCAAUUCUGGAGUUCUUAGUGCCCUCAAAAAAAAUCCUAGUAUCAUAUGCGGUACCUUCCCAACCAGCAUACACAAAUGUAAAGCACAUGUUAAAAUCGCACACUGCCAUAACAUUUUGUGUCGGUUUACCUGACCUUCCAAUGUAAGGUACUUGUUUUUCGGGAGGUAAACGAGCUUGCACAUGAGUUCCAUCAAUCGCACCUAUGCAAUCCUACAAGUAUUCAUUUCUUAAGAAUGAAAUACAUAUGAAAAUCACAACAAUUAAUGUUUAUUCAAGGCAAAGUCAAAAAAAUAAAUUUAUCAACAAAAAAAAGGUAAUAUUGCUCUACUUUACCUUGAAAUGAGGCAUAUAUAUUUGAUCUUUUCUUAUUGGUUCUGGAAUGUUGUUGAAUUGCGAAUCAAGUGGUGUAAUUAUGUCGCAGGCCAUACGUGAAACACAAGAAAGAAUGUACGUAAAAUACCUACUGAUUGUCUCGCCUAAUCUUUGAAAAUGCUCACGUAUAACUCUAUUUGAUGCUCCAUGUCCCAAUAUGUAUAAAAACAUUGCUAGAAUUUCUAUUGUCGAAAUAUUUCUUGAUCCUUUCAAACCAUAUUUGGUUUGCAAAUCAUGCAAUAGACUAACGAAGACUUCCUUUGGCAUUCUAAAGUUUAUCAUGCAUCGAUCCCUAUGUCCGUAUAAUACAUCUCGCGUCCAAACUUCUCCUGUUUGUUUUGAAGUCAUACACGGAGUUUUGCAUAUGUACUUUUGGUAAUACAUAGAUAUUAAACAACUUCCUACAAAUACGAAGCUGUCAUAGUCAAUAUCGUCCUCCAACAUUGCUUCACAAUGACUUUCAUUGUCAGUGUAUUCAUUUUCAUUAUUUGAAGAACUGUGAGUAACAUAACAAUCCAUUACCUGCAUCAUGAAAUUUAUAAACUGCUUUUAUAACUAUACAACCAAGUUCACAUUAAUAUGCAUUAUACUCUCAUAACCUAUUCAUAUGCAUUCUACAUUACAAUAACACAAAUCGACCACAAAUGAAAUAUAAAUUUAAUGAAAAAUUUUUGUAUAUUAAAAUACGAAUACAAAAAAUUCAUCAUUGUUUUUGCUAUUUAUUGAUGUGCUAACAAAACAUCAAAAUAGUAUCAAAUGAUAUUGCUAAAGAGAAAAAUUAUUCAUAAAUAAUCCUAAAGGCAAUAAACUAUCCUAUUUUUUGUUCGCCGCUUCUUCCAUCCUGAGCCACCACUCUUUUGAGUCUGCUUCAAGUGCCAUGAACAUUUCCCUUUUAUCCUUAUUCAUUGGCAAUGUAGUAGCAAAGUAAUAAAGUGAGCUAUGUAAGGAAGUGAAUUCUCGAAAUCCGAAAGUUGUACUUCGCCCAGGAUCGACUAGUUGUCGAGUGAGUAUCCUUCGGGAAAUCUAAAGUUAUCCAAAAUACAAAAAGUGCAUUGGAGUUGAGUCCGCGAGAGCAUAUAGUGCAAAGUCUGCACUGGGCUGAAGUUGCUCUCGGGGACCGGUCGCUGGCAGGGAGAGACCGGUCCCCGAGGCUGGUGGUUGCUGGGGAUCUUUGAUGCAACCGGUCCCUGGCUGAGGAGAUCGGUCCCCGUGUGCGACGCCAGCGAGAAAAGCCAAAAUUUGGCUAAGUCCCGAAAAUCCAGCUCUCGGGAACCGGUCUCUCAGGCGAGGACCGGUCUCCCGAGGACCGGUCUCCCGGGGAGAGACCGGUUCCCGAACGCGUGAAGGGCCCCUGGCAGCAUGGGCUGCUCUCGGGGACCGGUCCCAAGCAUAGUUAAUUAAUUCGCGAAUUAUUCGCGAAUUUUUGGAAAUCCGAAUUAAACGGCCAUUUUCGAAUUUGUGGAAAAAAUUCGGAAAAAAACGGAAUUUUUUGACGAAAAAUACGUGUUCGCGUAUUAUUCGGCGGGCCGAAUUAUUCGGCCCAAAAAAAUGGACCAAGCCCACAGCCCACAACCCGCGCGCCUGCCCGCGCCUGCCCGGGCUCCCCCAUGGGCUCUUGGGCCGGUUGGCCCAAAACAAUAAAAUACAAAUAAAAAAAAUAAAAAUCUUUCCAAAUACCUCGCCUAGAUCAAAAAAAAAAAAAAAAAAUUUUUUCGAAUUUUUACUUAAUUAGCUUAAUUUUGUAGCUAUUUAUUCUUAUAUUUUUAAAAGAUAUGAAUAUUUAUGCUAAUAGCAUAAAUCUUGAGAGAAAAAAAUUUAAUUUAAUAGCCGAAUUUUUUAUCCCGAAUUUUUAAUUAGUAAACGUAUAAUAUCCGUAUAAAUCACGUAUCCGAAUAAUUGAUAAAUCCGUUUUUUAGCCGUAUUUUUCAACGAAUUUAAAAAUUCGAAGACGAAUUUUAUCCGAAUUAUACCCGUACCGAAUUUUUGCCGAAUCCGAAUUAACUAACUAUGGUCCCAAGUCGGGGAGACUGGUCCCUCCGCGCGAAUUCUGCCCAGUGAGGGCUGUGUACAGGGUGAAAAGUUGAGGGGCUAAAAUGGAUUUUGUUACAAUAGAGGGGUAUGUAGGCCCUCUCUCUCUCUCCCUCUCCCUCAGCCUCUCAUUCUCUCUCUCUCUCUCACUCUCUCUUGCUCCCUCUCUCUCUAGAAAAGAAAGAACAGAAGAGAAGGAGAAGAAAGAAGAGAAGAAGAAGAAGGAGGAGAAGAAGAAGAAGGAGGAGAUCAAGCUAGAGCGGCGAAUACCCGUCCGCUUGGCGCUGAUCGAGUCACCUCCGGCUGGCGCGGCGCCAUCGCGCGUCCCGCCGAUACAGGAACAUACGGGGCCCCUUCUUGAUAAGGCGAGGGCGCUGGAGUCGAUGCGACUGACGGAGUAGACGAGGCCCUUGCCGGACAGUCGCGACUAAUGUGUCCUUCUUGUCCACAAUUAAAGCACCGUCCUUGUCGUUGUCUACACUGCGGUGCCCGAUGGCCUCGAUCCCCACAGAUAGGGCACCGCUGCGGCCCACGGCCCCACGACUGCGACCGCGGAUGCUUCGGGGGCCUCCUCGAACUCGAUUGUCCCCCCGGACCACCGCUCGAUCGCUUCUUCCCCUUGUCCUGGGAUCCGGUCAACAACUCACGCUCCUCCCGCACAUGGGCAUCUCCAUGCUCUGCCCACAGCGCCUUAUUGAAAACCUCAGCGAAAGUUGUGAGCUGGAACAAUUGCACUGCCCGAUAUAUCCACGGCCGAAGUCCUCACAAGAACCACUCGGCUCGAUCCGCGUCGUCCUUGACCACGUCCGGGACGCAGUCUAUAAUGUGGGAGAACUCCUGCUCGUAGUCCGCCACCGAACGAUCUCCCUGCCUCAACUUACGAAACCUCUCCUUCAACUUCCGCUUCUCGGUGUCGGGGAAGUAGUUUCCGAAU
rnacentral:lncRNA from 1 species